CCAGAACUCUCUACAUAAAAGAAGCUGAUUCUUUCACCCAUGCAGGCAAAUCACAUAGUCACAAUAAUUUAUAACACAUUCAAGAAACCUUGGAUGGGUAGUGGAUUGGGGCCUCUUGUAGCAAGAUGAAGUAUCUAUAUGCUGGCAUGGGACAGAAAAAACGAAUGACUAACCAAUAGCCACAAGCAAAAAAUCUAUAGGUUGAUACAGGCAUUGUACAUCAUUCCACUCUUAUCUCAGUUGAUGAAUGUGCUAAAACUAACCAGGAAUCAGCAGUUAUUGAUAGACAAUGAAUCUAGUUUAACGGCAAUCAUGCAUGACAAAAUGAGGCCACAGAUAGGAAAUUGACACAAUUAUAAUGGAGAACUGUCCAACUUAUAUCUUAACUUAUAGGAAAUCGGGCACAUAUUGAACCUGCACUCCAGAUACUCAGCUGUCUUUUUUAGUUAUUUUCACAAAAAUGCCCAUCAAUCCCUAAUACACUAAAAGAAUGGUAUGAGAUGAAGAAGGGUCAACUCUUGCCAAUUACAAAAAAAAUUUGAAAGUCCAAAAUUUGGCCUGAUAAUAGUUUCUCGCAUUCUUGACUAAGUGAUUCCACAAAGAAAUGCAGCUAAAGGCGUCGCGAGGCGACCAUCAAAGAGUCCAGAGAGCAUCUGGUUAUCCUCUUGCACAGGAUGAGCUGCGUAUCAAAUUUAUCUUGAUACAUACCUCAUAUCCAUCAUCUGUCUGGCAUAUUCCGUAAUAUAGUCCAGCAAGCUCAGCAUAAUAAGCUGAAUACAACAGGAAAAAAAAAAAAAAAAUCUAAGAAGAUCUUCAAGGACAAGAUUCAAGAAUUAUUUUUAAGGAUUGGUUUUUGAUGCAUCUGCAAGUGCAAUGAAGACAAGUCAUGACCUGAGAGACAUCUUUAAGCUACGAUUGUUUUACCAGGCAUUGCUGGUAUCCAUCAAAAGAAACAUCAUAAAUGAUUGUACGACCACUUAUUGCUUAAAAACCAUCAAAGGCUUACCAUAUUCAUUCAAGUAAUCACAUACUAAACUUUUAAAAAUUCUCGCAAGAAGUUCAGCAUGAGGAGAGUUGCAAGCAUAAGGGCAGAUGAAUUUUAGAUGUACAGUAGCCUUAGGAACAGAGAACACCGUAUCAGGCUUGUACCAUAACGUCGAAAAGCUUGUUUUCCUCAACAAAAGUGGACACAUGACCUGAUCCAAUGUUACGAAUGUCAAGAUGGUGGAUUAGUUCAAAAAGCAUGCCAAAUGGACCUAAGAUUGAUCAGACCACCUUAUCAGUCUUCUUGAGGGACAAGUCAGUCGCAAUAAACUGAUUAGCCACUGGCAAACGAAGAUGUUCACUUGGAGCAUGCUGCACCCACUCCUGAUAUAUAAUAAGGAAUCAAAAGUGAACACCAAAAUGCAUUCUUUGGAAGUUGACUAUACAGUAACAAACAGUUAAGGUCUAUGAGGACCACAUCUUUUGAUACCUGGAUUGUCGAGUCAGUAAGUUUGUCUACGCAAUAUGCAGUUGCAUACCAUGGCUCGACCAUGUUAGUUUCCCCUUCAAAUUUCUUUGACACCCAAAAAAUUCUGUUGGUCACAUGAAAGAAUGUGAUGAAAGUUCUCCAGGCUCAAGCAUAUGAACACAAUUAGGCUAAUGGAAGUAUUUCAGAUAGUCACGACAAUAAAAACUAACUCUUUUGAACUGCGUUCAUUAAGAGGGAAGCUUAGGAAGAUAAAAAAAAAAAAGAUUGACAAUGCAAUCCUAUGUCACCGAGCAAAUCCAUCAUGUCAAUGUAUUUGACACAUUCAUGAUUGCUAUGGUAUAUAUUCAGAUGUUAUAGCCUCUUUCUCCAAGAUGCCCAUAAGAGGAAAGGAUAUAUCUAAUAUACGCAUAUCAACAGAUGCAGGAUGAGACGAAAUUACCGGAAAUUUCUUGAAGAAAGCUUCUCGAGUACUGCACGGAUGAUGCUGGGAUUAAAUUUAGAAGGCAAGGAUGACUUCACAAGCCAAUCUUUUGGCGGGUACAACUGACAAAAAAUUGAUAUUAAAUUAAAUAUUCCAAUGCUUUUUGGAGUUAUGUUUUUUAUUGAAAUAGUUAUCAUAUGCCACUUUUCCUGAUUCAUAUACCAAAAGAGUUGUAAAUAAGUAGACGAAAGUAAUGGACUGAGUGGAGAAAGGGGCAAAAAAUUUGUAGAAGCUGUAUGCUAAAGUCCAAUAUUUUAAGGCUGGCCUGAAUAAAAAGAUGAAAGUAAAAUCAAAAGUUUUGAUACUGCUCAGGAAAAGCAUCCAAGUACAACCAUCAAAAGAAACAUCCAAGUACAACCAGAUAUACUUAUUGUCUAGCAAAGGAAAUUGAUCACAUCUUAUGACUUCCGUUAGGUGCCAUUGUAACCCAAAAAUCUAAGUUAAAUCUGAAUAUGACUUUAUGUUACCUCAUCACACCAAUUCCCUCUGACUCCUAAACUUCCAAGAGAGAAUAUCUAGUAUCUACAUUGUAUGCUAUUCCAGUUUACUUGAAGAGGACCAGCAGGAUUGGUCUGAAGUUUGAACUAGGAAAGAUACAAAUAUUUUCCAUAGAAUCCAUGCACAUCAUCAAUUUAAAGAGGUAAACGCAUUAUACAAGGAAAGUUUGGAUACCUUCAUAUUUGAUGCUAUAGAUACCACAUAACUCAUUGGAGAGAUCUUAUCCUGAUUGUGGAACAUCGUCUCCCUUACAGCUGCAAUCUUCACCGAAACAUUAAAUUAGGAUCCACAAAGAACCUCUGACAUUCAUAUUUAAUCACAUAAGAUGAGGUGCUCAUAAAGGGUGGGUCCAGAUUCCUUUAAUUCCAAUUUAAACUUGAAGCAUAUUCACUCAUUCCAUGCCACUGCCAUUUAUGAUCAAUUUGACAGGUUUUAAUGUACUUUGCAAUUUGGAAAUGUUAUGUCUAAUUUUCUACUCACGUACGAAAUGCAAGAAUUUACUCAUUCCUUUCUUCUUUUUGGUGCAAAAGCCAGAAUUAAAAUACCAUUUUACUCAUUCGUUUCUUUUUUUUUGGUGCAAAAGACAGAAUUAAAAUACCAUUUUACUCAUUUCAAAAUAUUUUAGACAUGGAAACAUAUACACAUGGUAGUGUCUGUAAGUGUCUUCAGUUACUGCUCAACAAAUCAAUGACAAAGAUUAGAGAAUUACGAUCUCUUUCUUUUUAUCAGGCCCGUCAAAAACCAACCUUGAUGCUGUUAGAAUGUCCAACCCAAAAGCUUAAGCUGGUAAGUGUAAGGACACCACAUGAAUACACGGCCCAUAUAAACCCGGUAGACAUGCGGUGUGAGAUACUUCAACAGAUCCGUUAUUCUCUUUUAAUUCUCUUUUAACACAAAUGAGGUAAUGCUUUCUCAUUUGACAAACUAAAAGCAACUAUUCUAGUAAGAAAAGUACCCUCGACAAGCUUCUUCAACUUGUAAGCUUACAUUGUAAUGCAUUACCAUGUUACGAAAGUCACAAUCAAAGAUAGAGCUCCAAGGACCGAAAUUUAGAUGACUUCCCUUCCAUUGAAGCCCUAAUGGAUACAUCUGCCAGUUCUACCUGUAUUCAGAGUCAUCCAAUAAACUAUUUCUCCACAUUUUGCAGAACUUUUACCAUGAUGGAAACAUCAUCACAUUUUGUGACAGCAAUUAAAGGACAGAGGGAUGUUUAAGGAGCACGUGUCAUCAAAAGGUUGAUUUCUCACAACCGUUUGAGGCUAUUAUUUCUUUAACUAAUACAAUUGAUAAUGUUAAUGUCCCCUAAGAGACUUGCUCUGACAACAUUUGAUAGAAGCUGUAUCUAGCAAAGUAUAGAAGAAGCUCGAAUGCAUGUAGCCCCAAGUUCCCAAUUACGAAAAUGCUGCAAUGCAGAGUGUCAGGAUUCUUGGCUAGCAUUGUUGCUGUAAUAUAAAGUCCAUAUACCAGCCAAUUACCUUCUUAGCUAAUGUAUAACGUAGAAAUGAAUAAAUACACGCAAGGGCCGCUGGUAGUAUCCUAAACUUAUCAUAUUUGCAACUCAUAGUCCUAAAUAGGUAUUUUGGAUCCAUACCUCGUCAUAUAUCCAAUUGCAAACGCCAGACUGGUGUAAAAUGUCAAUGUAUUUAAAGAGCAAUCCCACGAUAUCUUGCAUGUGCUCUGCAUUUUUGGUGCAAUAUGUAAUUAGAAUUUCAAGCCUCAUAAUCUGGGCUUUCUUACACGAUGGACUUUUCGCCAAAGGGAAUAAGCAAAGUCCCAAGUUUGUGAGAAUGGUUUUUUGCAAAUGACCUGAAAGAAAAACAGAGAAACGCCCAGAGGCAAGAAUAGCCAGAACAGAACAACAUACCGUGACCAGCAUCAGUCAUCUCAAUAACAACAUUAAAGAAAGAGUUAUUUGAAUCCACAACACUUUCAUAAGCAGACAAACUAGUGGCCCAUCCUGCAAAGUCAUUUGCAUCAGAACUGAUCAUAAACCAUUCAGAAAAGAGAAUUGAUCAAAGUAGCUGAAAACAAUUAAGCCAAAGCAAUAUGCUGGCUCCAGCAAUUCUAAUUGGAUAUUUUACUUUCACGAGUUAAUUUCUUCUUACAAUGAUUACGAUAAGCAGACAGUUUGGAUCCAGAUGCUUUUAUGCCCCCUCAACCCUAGACGAUCAUAAAUUUGCGUAACCCAACCAAAUUAUUUAGUUUAGAAAGGAGUACUAUUUUCUUUCCCCCAAAAGUUUGAAAGAGAGUUAUUUUCUAUGUCAAUUUUGUCAUGUUUUGAAAAGGUUUCAGGCGUUUGACACUAAUUUAAAGCCAAAUUUCAAAGGCAACAAGAAAAAGAAAAAGUAAAAGUAAAAAAAAAAUAUUUGCUCGAACAGAUCAUAAAGUUUAUACACCCUAUGCUCUAUGGAGGGUAAAAUGAAGAAUAUCUUUUGGUCAAUUAAACUCUUAUGCUCCUCAUACUGGCAGAAAAAAGAGAUGCACAGAGCAUGACCCUUUUCCUUUCCAGUGAAAAGCAUAGAGCAUGACUCUAUUUUGCUUCAGUUGACAUUUCAAGCAUCUUGGGAGCAAGAAACCAGAAUAUAGAGGAGCUGCAUAUACAUGGAAAAAAAAAAAUCUCCUACAUGGAAAUGAGAUGCAUAUAUUUAAGUUGCAAUUACCAGAAAAUAACUCAAUCACGAAGGUUAUCCUAGCAGAAAGGAACAUUACCAUUAAGACGAAUCCUCCUGAGGAUUAGGAUAAGAUAAGCAAUGUAAAUGACAUGAGAAACAGACCUAAUCUUUUUAAGGCAUGAAACAGAGAUCCUUCUCCCUCAUGGCCUAUAAGAUGGGUGAGGUAGCUGCAUGGGACUUCUUUGUAAUGGUGAAUGCUGUGAGGCACUGGCCACUGAACUUGUAGCGUGUGAUCGUCACAUAUUGGAAUGGCUUUAACAAGAACCUGGACAACAAGUAGGAGUUUCUUUAACUUUCUUCUGGAUAGAAAUUUUUACCAAACAGGAAAUGAGGAAUGUGCAUGUCUUCCAACAAAAAAUGGGAGUGGACUGCAGAAAUGGACCUGUAAAUGUUCCCACGAACAGGGGUGACCAGAAAUAUGCAAACAACUCUGCUUGUUGUUGGAAAUAGCGCUGAACUUUUGGACUACUAGAUCUUGGAUUUUAUCAAGAGAUCCUGUGGAGAUCCAUGAAAUUUUACAAAAUUGCACCACCGAAUGAAGAGAAUGUAUUAAUUGUAAAGCUGUCUUAUAUAGAUGCAAGCAGUACCUUUGCUGUAUACAACCAAACGCAUGAGGUUGGCAGAGUAAUUUUCUUCAUAGAACUUAAUAAGUUCUUGCCUUAUGUCAAUCCCCCUAGCCUUCGGUUGAACUUCUAAAGUUUGUCGAUUUCCUAAGGUAGUGAACUAUUCACAGGUUACAGUGUGUCACGUAUUCCCUAGUCUAAGAAUAAGCAUCUUAGUUGGUUCCAAUUCAUACAUAAAAUACUAAAGUCUUUAUUUUAAAGGAAAAAAGCGCAGUCUAAUUCUCUGGAAACAAAAAUAGCAUAUAGAAUUAGCAAGCCAUCUAUUUUCCCAAAAACUUCAUAGUAACAGUAACAACUAGAAAAUAAUGCGUUUGAUGCUGGCUUGUAUGUAUGAAUGGCACAAUGAAAUUACUAGCUCCAGGUAGGAGCUUAUUAACCAGUUCAAUGACUUCCCCAUUAUUUGCCAGAAUUCGUCCAAAUCAGAACCCACUAAUGUACAAGUUCUUCCCUAUAAUGGAGAUCUACUCUACAAAUACAAAUCUUUAGUACCGUGUUGAACAUUUACUCAUCUGAAAAAUGAGCAUAGUUGCUUCAGCAACAUGUCUGAUAUGAUGGUUUGAAACUUAAAAGGAUUUUUUUGGUCUCAGACUAGCACCUGUCAUGCUAUUCAGUGCGAAAUAUAUCAAGUCGCAUAUGUGAAUGAGCACAAGCUUAGUUUAACUUCUUUAAUUAAAACCUUUUGUCUGGUAACAGAACGUCAUAUGUUUCUAGGCAGUGAGUUCCUGAAAAAAUUGUUGCAUUUGAAGAGGAAAAAAAUGAAGAAACACUAGAUUGAUAUCUUUAUGUGAGGACAAAUGGAAUGGUUAUCAGAAGACUGGCUGAUAGGCAAAGCAACAUAGGCAACUUAUUUGCGCAGCUAUAUAUGUAAUGGCCUUUCGCAAGCACACAUGGGCCAAGACCUCUAAAGGCAUAAUGAUGUAAUGUCCUAUAGGGGCAAGCCUUUACUUGAGUAUCACUUCACAAGAUCUCUUCCACAACACAGGAACUCGGGAUCUUAUAGCACGUCCCGAGUCGAUUUGUCAAUGGAGUACCUACCGGUACCAAAUUUAUGAUAGGGAUGUGCUUCCAUGCUCAGAUGGUUCUGAAGCUGUGCGGAGGGAAAUAAACAAAAAUACAUUUGAGUCAGAACACACCAUAUAUCAACAAUAUGAUUAUCUACAACAAUUGAAAAACAAAGCAUGUUGAUAUCAACAUUCAACACAAUAUGAACUCACUGGGUGAAAUAUAAGUUUUGUAACUAUUCUUCGCAAAGAUGCACAGCAGAGUAAAAGAGAAUGAAAGGAAACUUUUUUUAGAAGUAGGUUAAGAAUACAUAUAACAUUGAAAAAGUUCUGAACAUGCUGCCAUGGAUGUAAAAACUAAAGCACCCUUAAAUCAACCCUUGGAUGCUUCUAAACAGAUACAGUUUAAGGAUUUAAUUUAAAGGUGUCAAAAUCUAUGUAAGGCGAAAUGCAGGUGACUACGUGGUACCUGGCCUAUUCUCCAAGAAUCAGAAAGGAAGUUCUUUUGGAACUCUGUAAGAGGAAAGGAAUAAGUGAUCAGUCAUAUUUAGAUGGAGCACCAUGUUGACUUUCAUGCUACUAUUUCUUCAAGCUAAACAGAGGAAGAUAAUGUUCCAAAUUGCGGUGAAGCAUAAUCACCAGAAUCAACUGCUUUGAUCUCCCUUUUAACAGCAUCGGAUGACAUCAAUGGCUUGACAAAGAACUGAGAAAAUCUACAUCAAAAAAAAAAAAAAAAAAACUCAGAGAUUGCCUAAACGUAACAGUUGGAUAGCAAGAGAAUAUGAAACUAUCAUCUACCUGUCCAAAGCCUCCUCAAAACAGUCAGCAUUUGCAACAAAAUGAUAGUUGGUAUGGUCAGAACCUGUCAAAGCAUUUGUUCCUCCUCCAUGCUAUGCAUAUUGAAUAGGAAAAUGAACCACAAAAUAUGCAGAUUGGGAUCAAGAGUACACAACAAGAAAUACUUAGAAGAUCUACUUAAGGUAAAGUAAGCUAAUUGAAUACAUAAAAUUGAAAACAACUUUAAAUCUAGCAGAAGUCCUUGGCAGUUGGCACAGGAUCUAAAUUUUGCACAUACUUCGUAUGCAUUUUGAGUUGCCAGCACAGAUGUAUCUACUAAUCUUCUAAAGUAAAAGAACUUCUGACAUUCCUCAAAGGCACAGGCAGGGUGGUCUGAUUGCACCAGAAUGCAUUGAGCAGGCUAAGGACACUUGAGACUCUCCUUCAUAGUAAGGACCAGAGCUAUAAGAACUAUAUCUGAAUGAGGUUCUUAUCCAUUUCUUGAAGGAAAAACAGAGAGAUGUCUCAGCAUGUACACUAAUUGUUAUCAUGUAGCAUCCAUUUGAAAAGGCUAACCUGCAUUUACCAGGUAGAACAGGUACAAGAGUAAUUAUGGAAGUACAACUUAUCAAAUCUAGAUCUCUGCUUCCAAAUUGAAAUGACUUUGGAAGUCACAUAUCCUUAAUUAUCACGAAACGGAUUAUACAGGAGAAAAGCAUAGAUGUGCCUACAUGCUAGAAAUGUGAGUGCAGCCUUUAAAAAUGUUGUGAAGUCUGUCCAAAUCUAGUUGUCCUUUUAAGCUCCACGAUUAACUUGCGAAAGAAAAAUGUAGACUAGCAGCUAAAAUAAAAGAAGCCUCGUAGGGUCAGCAGCGGUACCUGAGAUGUGUAUUUGUCAAAACUAUCCUCCUCCGGAUACUUCUCGCUCGCAUAAAACAGCAUAUGCUCUGCAUGUGAUACAAUCGAAUUAGAAGGAUACGGAAAUAAUGCAGGGUACCUUUCUCCACUUGCAAACAAGGGCAUGCACUAGGCAGUUAAUUAAUCGCUUUGCAACAGGUAAAGUCAUCCUUGGUUGAGAUAAUGUGCAAAAUCAUCAUGUUACCAAGAAAGUAACAGAAGGAGAGUUAUAAAUUCAAGUCACCUUCGAGUUUCGUGCAGGGAACUUUUGAAGUGACAAAAAAAAAAAGGGCGGGGGGGGGGGGGAUAUCUUAUGAUAUUGGAGCAUAAUUAUAGUUAUAGUAGUUAGUCCAGGUGGUUCUGAUGCUACAGCUUAAGUCGGAUUUCUUAUAAUUGACUCUUUUCUAUUCAGCUACGCAGUUUGAGCGACCUGCGUUGCAGGCGACCUUUGAACACACGCUCAAUCAACCGGUCUUCCUGUCCUAAUAUUUUGGGCUGAACAGUCGAAUACUGCAAUAAUGUUCUUUACUUCAAGAAAGAGACAGAAAAACAGUAGGUACCGAGGAAAUGAGCAAGACCCUCGAUGCCCGGAGGGUCGCUGUAGUGGCCGACACCCACAUCCAUAGAAACAGCACACUGAGCACAAAAGAACCAACCCAGCAUUAGAAGAUCCAUCUAAUCUAACAACAAUCGAAAAAGGCACCAGGAUGUACUCAUCAAGUGCUUCCAAUCAAGAAACAAGAAAGAAUGUGAAAGCUGUUUCCAAGCAUCGACGUUUGCCUUAUCAGUGUCGGGAUCGCUGACGAGAAGGGCCUCCAGGGAGUUCUCAAGAACCACCCUCCUGUACUCCCUCUUGUCAUUUCUGGCCUUGAUUAUGCAAUGAUCCACCAUGGUUUCUGCCAUCCUGCUCUCUGAGUCCAAGAAAAGAUUGAAAAGCAAGAGUUUUGCAGUUUGACCUCAGCCCGUCGUCUCUGAACAGAUGAACUUGCUUGUCUCGAAAAUGUGCGUGCGUGAUUGGCUUGACGGAAGGUGGGUCUUUUCGUCGUUCUUUCCUUUCUCGACAACGCGCACCACGUCAGUUUUCUGGCUAUAAACUCAAAGGGACAAAAAAUAUCUCAAAAUAGGAUCCCGUAAAAUCUUUGGCUCGAGCUGGUCUUAGCAAAUUCACCUUCUUCAUGCUGUCCGCCAGCAAGUCUUUGGGAGAAAUUCCCGGUUCCUGAGUGGGUAAUUCCAGUGAAAAACUCUUACACUCCGCCCACACAAAUCGAGUUGAUUAAAGUCGUUGCUUAUGUAUCUUUCAUUAGAUAAGUUGCACAAUUUUUAUUGUAAUCAAACCUUGUGACUUAAAAAAAAAAAUCAUAUUCUUAUACAGGUAAUUACUUGGAAAGAAUGACGAUAACAUGUGCGGUACAUGGAGAAACGUGCAUGCACAUGAGCCCCACUACUAUGAGCAUGCGCAUAUAGCCACACAAUUCAUGAAGAGUAAGAGGUAAAAUUGAACUUAAUGCCAAAAUGACAAGCAAAUCGAUACCUUCAAUUGCUUCAGAAGAGUCUAUAAAUACUACUACGGUUGAAACUUAAAAAGAUUGAGUAUCAUUUUAUACAUCACAUAUAUUUUUGAGGUGUCAAGAAAGAUUUGCUCCUAAAAGACGUAAUAAUUAAUUAUUCUUAUUGCAAUAAUUCGAAAAUAAGAAUAGAUAAAUGGAUUCUUGCUGCGAGAUAAAUAAUGAAUCGACAUAUUUAUCGGCUUAGCUUGAACUAGUUUAGUGGAUUUUGUAAAUUGGUGCGAUUGUUUGUGACGGGCAAUUGCGUUUCGGGAUGACCAUUGGUGUCUUUGGCCCAGUGGACGUUGUACUCGGCUGACUAAAUCAGAUAGUGGCUUUCUCUCUGUUCUCCUUUUCCUAUUCUAGCAAUGAUUAUCAAAAAAUUUCUAAACUAUUUUUAUUUAUACCAGUUAAAAUUUUAGUCAAUUUAAUUUUAAAUCUUUGGUAAGGGUCGCGAUCUUCUUGCCAGAUUUGGGUUAGGCAACUCCUGCAGCCACCAACCUUGGAUUGGCGGAAGGAAUAAGAAAAAGAGGCAAACCAAAAAAGGGAAAAAAAAGAAGAAAAAAAAGUCAAAAAUUCAAAAAAAUCUUUAAAAAAUUACAAAUUUUAUCUACGUCAGUAUCUGUGCCAUAAAUGAUGGCUGGCGUCAAUGUCAGCAAUUUCUAACCAAAAUUAUCAAAUUAUUAAAAAGUUUAAAACUAAAUUGACCAAAGACAAAAUUAGCUCAAAUGCAAUAAGUUUCGGUCUUUUUUGAUAAUUUGUUCUACCUUUGUGCUUUGGAACUGAGUUUCGCAUUUAUUUUUGUUUUUCCUUUUUAUUGAUGGACCAUUAGGAGUUGCACUAAGAUCGGAAUCACUUUAUACGAAAUGCAUUUAUACGUUGUCACGCCAUUAACAUGAAUAUAAAAAGCAAAACCAAAUCAUACACACCCAAGGAAUCUCAUUUUACCUUAGCACGGAAAAUGCCACAAGAAACAAGAGAGGACUGGCAAAGACAUUGAAAGCGAAGGCCCAACAUACAUAAUUACACAAUUUGGGUGUCGCCAAUGCACAACCUAGUUCCUGAAAUUGUACAUAAGUCAGCCGACUUCUGCUGCCUUCUGCGUAGAAGUUUCAAGUUUCAGAGAUGAGCUGAAUAACAGAACAAACUUUGUUCUUUACUUAUGCAGGUUAUAAUUGAAGAAAAAAUGCAAAUAACGGACAGCAUUUAAGUUCUCCCCGUUCAUAGAGGAUCUCCGACUGCAACAGUGUCCAUUUCUAAUGCAGGAUACUCCCAACGUUCCUUCUACUCCAAAAUAUUGCUGUUUAGAGAGAACCUUAACAUUAUCUGACUUUCUUCAUCUGGAAGACAAGUAUCGAUACCUUACAACUUCACUUGACCAUAAGCCCCUUUAAAUGAGCCAUAAAGAGGUUGAGAUCUUCGAAAACUGAAGAUAUCCUCGAUUUGAACUGAGGAUGGUUGAGCCGGUUGGUUUUUGUCGGUCGUGUACUCAGAUGCGUGCAGGCUCCCGUAAACUCGAAUGGAUAGUGUCUUCUUUCUAGCUGCGCCAACUUUUACAUAUUCAUAGAAGAAAUCCAGCAACUCUUGCUGCGUUAGCUGUCUCAGCGCUGCUACCUGUUCCCAUAUCAUUUGUAAGAAAUUAAUACUUUAUUACUGAAGUCCGGUUGAGAAAUAUGUCCUAAACAAAGGCUAUCAUGAAUACCAAUUGUGUUUCUCCAACUACAUAUCUCUUAGUACUGGCAACUCCACCCAUCUUAUAGGUCAAAGCAGAAAGAACAAUUACAGAAUACUUGCCUAGUUAAUUAGUCCAAUUCCUUGUUCAUACCUCAGUUUCUCUCCUGUCAAAUUUUUUAGUCCCGUUAGAAAUUUCUUCCCAGUAGAAUGCACAUUCUUCCCAAAGAUUCUUGUGUUUCUCGAGCUUCAUAUCAAUCAAAGCAUUCACAUUGCUCUGCAGGUGAUAGAGAAACGAUUAGCAUGACAAUGCUAUGCCUUUUAGCUAAAAGAUGGCACAGUUAGUAUCAAUAUCAUUGACACAAGAAUGCACUCGAGUGCAAAUCUUGAAAAUGGGAUGGAUAUUAGGAAAGUAUCAGAAAGGAAGUUCUCAUUAAGUAAUUUUGGAAGUUAGUUUUACCCCGGAAAUUGAAAUCACCACUACAAGAGAUUUUUCUUAUCGAGUAAUUCUUAUAUAAGCUCCCAAAAGAUUCUCGAUGCAUUUUUGUUUUUUUUUUUUUAAUGCAAGCAGCAGCACUAGUCCAUGAGUCUAUCCUAAGGAAGUGCUUGAUGCAAUCUCUUCCAGGUACAUGCGUUAUUACUCCUUCCAUGAGAAGCAUUCAGUACGUAGAUGAACAUGACUUGGAAGCAAAAUUUGUCCAUAGACCGACGGAUGAUAUCAGCUUACUUUCCCUUCUAUGAACCUGUUAAAUUACAGAUCCAAUUUCUAGAAUCAGCUAGAGAAUACUAUAAAAAAAUUUGGACUUAGAGUGCGUUACCAAAGUCUCUUCAGCCAAAUAUUGAGUGUUUGGCAAAAAUUUUGCAAAUCCUAUUGAAGAAAAGUGAGCAUUUAGAAGGCUGAAAAACCAAAGCAGGUAUGCCCACAUCGGUACUGUGCAAUCUUUUAUUUUUCCGAAAUUGUCCUCACGAACUUUUUGUUUUUCGUUUAUGCCCUUGUUAUGUGACACUGUUCAUCUUCCCGUUGAGAUGGCCGGCUUGGUUGUACCUGGCUACGAGGAGUCGGCGACGGCUAGAGAGACGCCGGCUUGGUCGCGACGACCUAGGUGACCAUCGCCAGAGAGUCAGGCGACCUCCGCGAGUCGUGCCUUCGCCCGACCCCUCACGGGUCGCGGCAACCCAGAUCUGAGUCGUCGCGCGACCACGGCGAGGGGUUGCCGAUCUGGGUUGCGGCGGCCCAGAUCUAGGUCACCGUAACUCAGGGGUCGCCGCGACUCGGAUCUGGGUUCGCGGCGACCCACCCAGAUCUGGGUUCGCAGCCACUCAGAUCAGCCCGACGGUGGUGAAGAAUCGGUGAUGCGGGGGGCGUCCUCGCAGGCGGCGGCGACGACAGCGAGGGAGGCUCGGUGACGCGGGGGCAAAGGGACACGUCGAGGGCGGCAGCAUUGGGGCAGGGAGCGAGGGCGGUGGGGAGGUGCUCGGUGCAAAGGGGGCGGAGGAACUUCUGGUGGUGGGACUCGCCAGUGUGGAAGGAGCAGUAGACGAGGGAGGACUUGCGAUCGAGCAGGACAUGGUAGAGGAAGUCGAGGAUCAGGAGCACAAUCUCCUCGGACAGGAGGUCGAAGUGGGCGAAGCCCUCCGGUGUUGGGACCACUGGGCCUCUGCUUCUUCAUGGUCCUAGAGGAGAGAUUGAGAUGAUGGAGGCGAAGAUGACGGUGGUUAAAGAUGAAAAGGAGAAGAAGAUGUUGUCCUGGCUGCCUGAGAUCUGGCAACUUGAUAUGUCGACUGUCGGCGACAGAUUUCGAGCCAACCAGCUAUUUUUUUUUUCUUUUAAAUCAUAAAUUUUUUUUGUAAAUAUAAAUUUCUUCAAACACUAUUUUACUGGUAUUUUACUAUUUUACUGGUAUUUUUCAACGGACUUUUAAAUUAUAAUUCACGAAUGCAAUUUGUAGUUUAAAAAAUUUCUUUAAUUUAAAGGUUUUUUGCAUUUUUUCAAAAGCUUUUCUCAUAAGUUCAAACUGUAAAAAAAUGUAGAGAAGUCAAGAAAAAUUCUAGAAAAGAAAUCUAGCUUAAGCGGCAAUGAAUAGUCUGGAAAGCGCUAGUGUAGGAGUGUCUGGGAGAAAGAAGGAAAGAAAUGUCUGACAAGGGCAGAAGAUUUUCCUUGAGUAAGUCGGUCAUCAUCCAACUCGUGGUCGCAGUCCAACAACCCGAGCUCCUUCUCCUUCCCUCUGUAGUUCUCAUCGAUUAAUAAAAGCCUUCCCUUUUUCCCUCUGCUUCCCUAGCCGUGAAAGUCCACUUUUAUGUACACAUCCUUCUGCUAUCCCCUAGCUAAGUAAAAUCUCACAUACUCACCGGAAACUAUCACUAUUAGCUUCCGCAAACCUUCAGAACCCUUACUGAGCAGUGGCAUCCAACACUGCCGUGGAUUCUUACUGAAGAGAAGGCAAGCUGACAUCUUAAGAGUAAUAAUAUGAACAUCUACACUACUUACUACUUAGUUGAGAAUAUCUUUGCCAGGGACUGCUCAUAAAAAUGACUACGUCAUUCAAGGGUUUCACUCUUAAUGUACCUUCCACAUGCCAAGUGUCUCGAACACUUAUUUCGAUUAUAGAUCUAAUACCAGAAUUCAAUGGGUAAUCUUAGCAUUUGAUAUGCAUUCCCAGUGGAUCUCAAUUUUCAAUUAUUAUACCUUUUCAUUUUAUCAAAGAAGGUUGUCACUCAAUUAAUGUACCUUCCAAAUGCCAACGUUAUUGACUCACCUUGAAGUCUUCAUUCGUCAUCCGAGAGAGUUUGCUUUCGAACAUUUUUAGGAAUUCCUCAACUCUCAAAUCAAUAUUACCAGGCCCCUAGAAAGAUGGACAUAUUAGAAUAAGAGGCAAUGACCUUGGUCCAAAAAGACGUACAAAAUGUUGCUAGUCACCUUCGCUGUGGAUUGGAUGAGGAAUUGUAGUCCAUGAAUUCCAUAAUCGUUCCUAUGUUGAAGGAGACAUAAAAAAAAACGAAGAGCGAGAAACAGUAACUAUGCAUUAAAACUUUGUAGGUCAAGGAGUGCCUUAAGUACCUCUGCAUAAGCUCGGUUAUGUACCCAAGCUGCUCCACAGAUCUAAGCUGGUGGAAUGCCGCUUGUUUGGCGAUUAGAGCAAAAAGCUGAAGCUUUACAUUCAUCAUGAUAUCAUCCUGGUGAACCUACAUAAUCAAUCAAAUAGCAAAUCAAAACCCUUCCAAAGAAACAAGAAAUUGAAACAUUUAAAAGCAAAACAUUACUAUAGUCAUACCAGAAGAAGAGGGGGAGAAGCAAGCAGGGCGAGGGGGAGCUAGACAAAAUCAUUUUCUGAUUUUAGCAAAGGAAUAUGAAUGCAUCAAGAAAGGAAUAACAUCCAGAAGUAAAUCAACUCACAGACAACAGAAGAACAAAGAACAGUUUCAGAGAAGUAUAUAUAUAAGCUACUGCAAAAAUAUAGAUGAAUCAAAAUUGACAUUGAAAAAGCAAGUUCAUACAUUAGUAUUAAAACAUGGGAUUCUUCAGAGUAUACUAGUUAUCAAAUAACAAUAUAUUCAGAUGUAUCCUUUGUCAACUCCCAGACAACUAGAGAUCAAACAUGGGAUUCUUCUGGUCUUCUAGCUAAUUUCCAAUCACCAACAGCAAAUGGAAAAAACAAACACUCGACUGAACAGAGUAGGCAGGAGUACAUGCACUUGGCAAUGAAAAUAAGACAACCUCCUGAUUUUUGAAUUCACCAAAUGUUGGACUGUAAAAGAGGAUGUAACAAGAGGAUUCAUAAUGUCCUAUAAAUGCUAUUUUAUAUUGUUCUGAAAGCAAUCAAUAAGGCUUUACACUCACUUUGAGACAAAGGAACAAGAAUAAGCACACAUAAAUUCUAAAUCUAAAGCCUUUACAAGUGAAGAUUGACAAGGAGAGUGACAGCCAAAAUGAUCUUCAUUUCGAAGAUAAUAUAUAUUCCGAGCUUUCAGGUUACAUCCUGACAAUUUUGCACUUGUGUAUGCAAAUCAAGUCAUGGAACUACCUGAAUAUAGUGCACCAGAGCAGAAUUCUGAUCACUUGGAUUUAGGCCUUCCGUACAGUAGAAGUGACUCAAUCCAGUUCCUAGUUUAACUACUCUAUUUGUCAGAUGCUGGGAUGGAUAUAAAGGUUGACAUAUUGGCUGUGGACCAUGGAAGAGAACAUUUUCAAUAUGCUGAACUAUAGAUUCUGCUUCACCACGUUCAAUAUUCCCUGCAUAAGACGUAGCAGAUUUAACUUGAAACUCAAAAGGGGAUGGCAGUGAUCUCCCACAAAUUUUAGAAUGAAGCUGUAGACUACAUACCAGCUACAUAAAGCUCCAGUGAGGUCCUCGAUAGCAUUAGGGGCAAAAAGUUGGUGAGAUCUUCGUUCUCAAGUGAGGGAAGAACUUCAAGUUGUUCUGUCCAGGGCCAAGUGUUGUCUUGCAGUAUUAGUGAGCUACAGUACAUAGCAUGCUCAUAUGGUUGCUGAAACUUCAAAUUCUGAUAAUCUUUUGUCACCACUUCCUGUAACAUAUAUGGGCAAAGAGAGAACCACAAAGCUAACUUUGCAAAAACAGAAGGUAAAUGGUGCAGAUAUUUCUAUGAGACAGAGGGAGAGCUAAAGUUUACCUUGAUCACAGCAAAUCUCUCAGGUCUCACUUUAAAGGUUGCAAUUUUCUCGAUGAUUUUUUCCAGCAAUAUCCUCAGCUUGUGAUUAUAACCUACCACAGUGACCUAAGUAUGAAAACAUAUGGUCAGCACAUAAAAUGUCCAAUCCUGCAUACGUAAGACAGACAAGGGCACCCUGUAGAAUCGCCUGUCCACUUUAUUUCCAUUUCAAAAAAUUUAAGGGUCUUUUUGAGGACAGAAAAAUUGAACGGAGGAAAAGCAUAAAAGCAUUUCCCAUUUUUAUGCUCAACUAAACUAAAAGUAGCUUAUUUCAAAAACAAGAACCUGAAAACCUGUGUUGGUGUCAUGCACACCGUAAUAAAGGCCGGCAACCUGCGCAUAAUAAGCUGAAACAUAGCCAAAAAAACAAAUUAAGGAGAGAACUAGCAGUAUAUGGUUACGGUAAUAUACGAGUAAGAUAGAAGAACAGAUUUGCAGAAUAGGGACUGAAUACUACUUUAAGCUAUACGAAAUCACAUUGAACAUCGAAUGCCAUUUUCAAAGGAAUAAGUACAGUAAAAUCAAGACUGAUAUGAAACAUAGCAUGAGAUAUUCCCAAAUAGCCUAGUGUACUUUAGCAUCUUACCGAAUUCAUUCAAGUAAUCCAUCAACAACCGAGUAAAUAAAUCAGUCAGCACUUCAGCUUCAGAUGAGUUGCUAGCAUGGGGGCAGCUGAAAUCUAUUAUAAUGUAUGCCUUGGGAGUGGAGAAUACGGUAUCUGGCUUGAACCAUAAUGUUGAGUACGAUGACUUCCUCAAGAGAACCGGCAAGUUGAUCUGUUCAAAAGAUCGGUCACUAUAAGAGCCAAAAAAUGAACAGGAUAAGUUCAGAAUGUAUUGUACACCGUACCUUUUCUCCUGAAAUUUUUAGAGAGAAAUCGGUAGGGAUGAAUACAUUGGGUCCUGGUAAAUGCAAAUUUUCAUCAGGAGAAUAUGACAUCCAUUCCUGCGAUCAAUACAGACAACCUUUAAUUCUUUCUGUUCUCCACCAAAAGUAAAAAUUGUAUACUCCAUGUCUAGGUAAUCUCAUUUAUCUCCACUUUUUUAGUGUAAAUGUGCACACUACAUUUUGAAAGAAGGACAAUCGCUCUAGUUGGUUGGAGAGGGUCCACAUUACUUUAGUUGAAGAAGUACACCUAAUAAAAGCAAUUGAUGUGACUAUAGUGGUGAUUAUCUCUGAGACAUUUUAUACAAAUGAUUCACCCAGUAUCUAACAGAAUCACACCAUCAGAAUACCAAAAGAAUAAGCUUGGUAGACCUGAUUACGUUUGAAUAUUGCAGGGAAUGAAUUAUUAUGGUGGGGGCUGCGAUUUUGCCAACUACUCAACAAAAUCAAUUGAAGAUUAGGAUUAAAUCAUCAAAGCAUUAUGUGCCACUUCAUCCGUGAAACCCCUCUACUUAGAAUGAAAAUCGGUGACAAGACUAACAAGGAAGGGAUACCUGUAUAGUAGAGGCAGAGAUUCUGUUCAUGGAAUAUGCUGUUCCAUACCAUGGUUCCACCAUGUCAGUAGCUCCUUCAAAACUCUUGGACUCCCAAAAGAUUCUGUUAAAUAACAUACUCAUUCCUAUUUAGGAUUAUUGACAUGUCUUCCAAUUUGCUAAAGAAAGGAUGGUUGCAAUGCAAUCCUUCUGGGGAAUUUUUUUAUUGCAUACGUUAGCAAUAACUAUGAAUAGCAUGACUUAUUUCUGGCAAAUAGGGAAGGUAACUAUCUGGGAUAAUUUAUGAUCUUAUUAGGACAUUCUGGAUUUCAUGUUCAAAAGCAAGCUGGAAAGUGGACAUGGUUAAAUAACAUUGGGUAAUGAAAUGGCAGUUCAGCAACUGCUUUCUCCGGUAGUUUGCAUAAAAGACAUGUUAUAAAUAAACUCAAUAUAGAAAGAGAUUUCUCAAUUUUGACUCAGCGUAACCUGUGCAUGAAUAUCCCUAUUGUCAAAUCCAUGCAGAUUUGCCAUAAAAAAUCAUUGCAGAUGACUUUUCCAAGUCUGAUUGCCUUUAUACAGACAACAUGGUGCCAGCAUGAAGGGUUGUGUCUCGACAGGUGCAUGCAUGUGAAAGUGCAUGUUAUUACUGGCCUCUUCUACUUCUCGCGAGUGCAGAAAUGGCAGUGAGGUGGGUUUGGAAUGGCCGGGCCCACAAAGACGGCGAACCUGAUUAGACUGGUCCUCUGGUAUUCCUAUGCAGGUUUGGACGAGUCGAGAAACCAAGUUAAACUGGUCCUCUGUAUUCCUAUGCAGGUUUGACAUCCAUACAGAGGCCCGGUGAAGUAAUUUUUUUUUUUUUUUUAAAUGAACCUUCAAUGCACUCGCAAGUCACAAUACAGGAGCCGGGAAAAGAACGGUGAAGUAGUCAUCAUAAACAUUGGUCAUUUGGUAAGCCCUAUGGCAUGAUAUUUAAUAUUUUCUUAGAAGCAAUAGACUCACCGGACAUUGUCUGGAGAGAGCUUAUCCAGCACCAUUUGAAUAGUGCCGGGAUUGAAUUCACAAGGCAUAGAGGAUCCCACGAUCCAAUGUUCAGGUGGAUAUAUCUAAAGUUCAAUAAAAAAAUGUUAAAUAUGUGAUACCCAUAAUCACAAUGAUUUCACUUCAAUCAGGCAUGGCGUGCUUUAAACGCAAAAAGAGAAAAUGUCCCUAAGCGCAAGUUCUUACUGAAAAAUGGAGUACUUAAAAGAACCAAUAUUUAAAUCUCAUCUAUAUUUCAUUUACUCUAACCCCAAGAACUGAUGAUAAACAUCCGAAGAUGUUAAUCCUAGAUAGAUGAGCUUAGCAGGUACUUGUCAUGCUGUUUAUGGCCUUCAAACUCUUGAGAAUCGUUCUACCUUAACAACUAGCACUUUGCAGGUGUGCGACUACUCUCCACGGCAUACAGGGACAGGUAUACGUUUUAAGUUGUGGCAGAAGCUGCCCUCGUGCAAAAUAACGUUUUCAAACCAUUUUAAAGAUCUUCUCAUUGAUGCAUCCGUACAAGCCACUGGUCAAUGUGGAACACUUGAAACCUCUCGAAACAUACAAAUUUUGACAUGUAAAUUUAAAUACAAUCUUUUUACAAAACUUUAAGUAUCUUUUCCAUUUUCACAUUUUGAAGGAAAUUUUUGGUUUUUUAAUCAAAACCAAACGGGCUCUUAGUUACCGAUUAACUUCAGCGUUAUCAAUAAAAUUAAUGUCAAGUUAACUUCCACUUCCAAAGAAUUCUACACAGCCCUUAAUAACACUUAGGCAUCAUCGACACACAUGUAAAUAAAUAAGAAGGCAAACGGGAGAUCUAAGGAAUGCUUGACUUACCUCCAUAUUGGAUGCGACACAGACUACGUAAUCAAUGGGAGGGAUUUUGUCUUGAUAAUGAAACUCAGUCUCACACAAGGCUGAGAGCUUCAUCAACACAUCCAAGAAUGGAUAAGUUUUUAGGAAAGUAUAUCCCAAAAGAAAUAAUUAUGAACCAUGAUGCAUUAAAUUAAUGUGGCAUUCAUAGAAAUAAUUAUGUAUGACCCUAUCGAAAAAGUGACAUUAAAGCAUGUCGACCUAAAAGAAAUUAAUUGGUAAUCUUGCACGUGAAUGAUGCCAUGCGGCACAACCAUUUGCUAGUAAUAACCACUUUCAUUAAUGUAUAGAAACAGGUAUAGGCAAGUAGUGGAUUUACCUGCCUGAUAUUCAUGUAGCAUAUCUCAAUGAAGUAUAAACGAAUGGACCACUUAGCUCAUGACUAUUUCUCACCAUAAUGAUACGUUCAAAAUGAAUUAGAAACAAUACACAACCAUAUUGUGCCAGUAUCUGCCCAAAUCUGUUUUGUUGCAAUCGCCAAACUAUUUGAGAUGUUCAACGUACUAAACAUUAAUGAACAAGAAGAAUAACCAGCCACAAACAGGUGAUGCGCUUAUUGUUUUUCAAAUUUUUUCUAUAUGCGGGUAGGAGUACAAGAUGCCAGUUGAAAAACUGAGUAUAACACAACCACGGAUAGCAGCAGAAGAAAUUGCUCAUAUGCAUGCCAUCAGAAGUCAAUCUUUGCUUUUCUCAAGUGAAGAACGAGAAAAUGAGCAAACCUUUCCACGUAGUUCAUUUGCAUACCUCAUCAAAUAUCCACUUGCAGACACCGGACUGCUGUAAGAGAAUAAUAUAUUUGAACAACAAUCCAAUGACAUCUUGCAUAUGUUCUGCAAACAAGUCAACCAAAUAUCAUUAACCUCAAAAACCAACUAUUCCAUAGAUGAAUGGACAAAAGAGUGCUUCUAGACAUUUGGGAGAAAAAAAAAUCAAAGCUUUUAUAGGUAUAGUAUAGUGUAUGGAAUAAGAGGACCUUAUGAGACAACUCUAGCAUCUAGUAGCAGAAAAACAACUAUCUGUAUAACAAUUUCAAACCGGCAAUUGCCAAACAUCUUCUAAAGUGCAAGGCAGAGGUAAACGACAAUUCCAUAAUUUUAAGGCGAAGACUGUCUAAAAAUAUGACAAGUCCAAUUUUCCACCAUGAAACCAAGGUAUCAUUAAGUUUGGGAAAUAGCAAUGUUUCAGUCAAGAACAAAAUGGAGAAGCCAAAUUAAACAGAAAAAUAAAGGGGAAGAUAAGACAGAAAAGGAAACAUUAAGUUCGAAAGCAAAGCUCUUAUUCGCCCAAGCAGAAAAUCAUUUUCACCACAAAUUUACCUCCUAUCGUCACUAGGACACUUAACGAGUAUGCAAAAUGCAACACAAUCGCUAAUUCCUCCGACUUAAAUAUUAGGAAAGUUGACAAACAUCCGUGAGAAAAGCAUAUUCUGAUUGCUAAUGAUAAAGAUGAAUGCUAAUAAAAAACACUACUAACGACUAAGUAGAAAAUGGAAAAGCUUAUCAUCUCUGUGGUCAUGCAAAUGAAUACUUGAGAACGUGAAAAAUGAAAAAGGGGCUGGCAAAAAGCCUGGAUGCAAGCAGGGGUAGACCCACACAAAUUGACCGCAGAGCUGCACAUGCCCGAGACAACAAAACCAUCAAAAGCAUGUGCAAGCGCAAGUGAGCAAGGGAGGGAGGGGGAGGUGUUUCUUAUGAUAAACCACUAGGAGAGAAUGAAGAAUAUGAAGAAACAAACCAUGACCAGCAUCAGUAAGAUCAAUUUGCACUGUAAAAAAUGCAAAUUCCCAACACGAUUCCCCUUCACCUGCAAAUAAACUCGUAGCCCAUCCUGGAGCAUCAAAGCCACGAAUGGCAAAGGAAGACAAAGCAUUAGAAAUUCACAGGUAAUGUAGCUAGAUUUGAUAAGUUCUUCUAAGGAAAAAGGAAAAAAACAAAGACAUGCUAGAGUUUUCACCUCCCUAGAAAAAUUACAACUAUUGAAGUAUUAUCCCACAUCACUUGACAAUGGAUCCUAAAUGCUCCUUAUAUUCAUGUGGCCUCCCUCCACUGAUCAACUUAAGCUAUUACUUUGGAUUUUCUAACAUGGUAUCGAAGCCAGUGCUCACCCUUUCACAAAUGUGUGGUCAGAAUUCCUCAAGUUGCUAAAUCCUAAACUUGCAGGUUCCAGCCAGUCUACUUGCUCUGCAAUUCUAUAAUUUACGGAAAGAUGACAUCAAGAGAACAGUCUCGAGAACAUGAUUUUGGGUAAAAAUGUCAGCGAGGUAAGAUCUCGAAAAACAACCGCCUUCUUUUUAUAAUUAAAAGGGUGGGGAAAGGCAAGCAAUGCUAACGACCUCCGCUGCUAAGAUUAGUUUGAACCAUGGUUACUCCACACCACCUACAAUCUGAAAGUCCUGGGUUGGUGAGCUCAUCACCAAAGCCUCAUCAAUAUCUAGAUAAACCAUUGCCUUUGGGCAAGAUGGAAGGAUGCACCAGCUCUCUAGUUGCACCUGGACUGCAUUAUUGUGAUAUCAGGACUGGGCUAUGGACAAGCUAUGUUGUGUUAUUUCAUGCCAGAUACCGAGGAGAGUGAGGUGCCAGCUCUGCAGGGGACUUUCUAUCAUUUUUCUUUUGGCCAAUAGAUUAUUCUGUUGUUGAAAAGCAAAUAUUGCUGCAUAUUCAGCUGUCUUUUUAUUUUGAGGAAGAAAAACUCUUAAAACUUCCGCAGAAACAGUAGCACCUGUAGAAAGAGAUCACUUUCUUUUCUUGAUUGAUGAUGCUCAAGGCAGCUCCAUAUGAAGACCAGACAAUUUGCUAUACUUAAUACUACAACUAGCACUUUCCUAUCUUUUAGGUGGGUUAGCAAUCCCCGCAUACUUGCAAGUAAAAAUUUCUUCUGGGGAGAGAGAGAGAGAUGGACAGACGGACUGACCGAGAGGCAGGCAGGCAGGCACAGGGAAAUCCCUGUGCCCAGAAGCUUCAAAAUUUCCGGAGACUAACAUUUACAAUUUAAAAUUCCAAUGAGAGAAAAUUCCAAUGAGAGAAAACUAUUGGAUAUGCUUACAAACCAGUCACAUAUAAUUUCCUCAUAUAUGAACAGAUGAAUGAGAUAAGAAACGGAGGUGCAGAUAAAAGGGAAAGGCAACUUGUGAGGGAGUAAAAGUCGACUGUUAAAAGCACCUAUAGAUCAACCAAACGAUAUAACCAUCGGAGUCUCCUAUGUGCAUUCUGUUUCCAGUUCCUAACGAAGGACAUCAAAAUAAAAUAAUUGCAAAAGGCUUUUGUCAUUGAGUAGCCCUAAGGGCACUCAUAUAUGAAAAGACGCUAAAAACAAGUGCAGUAAUUUUAUUUAUCACAAGAAAUUGAAACAUGCAAAACUUAUCCUUAACAUGGUCACAGAAGUCAUAUUUGAUCUACCAACUCGUUGAUUCUUUUUCAAUAAAAUUAUUUGACCUGUUUCUGCAACCAUCAGUCAAACACUUUUGUAUGUUCCUUCUUCACAUAUUUUGCAUCACAUUACAAAUGCGUGCAUUCGGAAAUUUGAUGGGGAAAAUCAUGUGAAAGAUGUGCAGACUGACCCAAUGUCUUCAAGACAUAAAACAGAGACCCUUCUCCUUGAUGGCCGAUAAGAUGACCAAGAUACUGGCAAGGACCUUCCUUGUAGUGUUGAAUCUCUGGAGUUACAGGCCAGAUUACUCUCAGUUUGUGACCUUGCUUGAUUGGGACAGUUUUCACAAGAAUCUGGAGAUAAAUUUAAGAAAUCAAGAUCUUCAUAGUUUGUUUCAAUAAGUCUUACCCUUUCCAUGUUUAAAUUAUAAAUUGAAAAUUGCAAAAUCUUAGACAAAGCAGAACAAUCUUGGCAAGGACAUGAAAACCUGUAGAUGCUCUGAGCUGCAAGGUUGUCCAGGAAAGCGAGAAGUGCUUUUGUCAGUAUUUUGAAUUUCUUGAAACUUGCCUUCUACCAGACAGAGAAUUUCAUCUAGAUUUUCUGCCAUUGUCAUCAGAGAUACAAGUUAGCUGAAUAUGAAUAUUUAUCAAAUUUUUACACAUCUCAAGGGAAUUUUGUACAAAAUCUUGUUAGAAUUAUCUGAGUUAUCAGUAUUUGUUUUUUCCAUAAGUCAUCGGUAUUUAGAAACUAGAUUUGAGACAAACCUUUUGAAUAUACGACCAGAUGCAUGAGACUAGCUGAAUAUUUCUCCUUGUAAAAUUGGAUGAGCUCAUUUCUAAUAUCUAGUCCUUUUGCUCUCGGUCGAAUCUCCAAGGUAUCCCAAUUUCCUAUAAUUGCAAGAAGCAAUGUGUUUUCGCAAUGAUGAGAAACAAUAUAACUGAAACAAGACACAUUAUCUUGCUUCUUGCUUUUUAUAAGCAUACAAAUAAUGCAAUAGACUACAAUUCUAACAUACAUGAAACUGAGUUUUUUAGAAACUAAAAAUCAAAAGAAAUCAAGAACUGUGGGGUUUAACAAACGAGAAUUUUUAUCCUUUUCGGCAUUAGACACAGAAAAGUGGAGACACUCACCUGUGCUAAACUUAUGAUAAGGAUGACUUUCCUCGCUUAUAUGUUUCUGAAGCUGCAUAGAUGGACCAGUGUCAGCACUAGCACGAGUGAGAGAAUAACUGACUCUAUAGAGUACAAAAUCACCAUUUUACGCAUUGAAAAGUGUUUUAUUGCAGAACAAUAAAUUUUGUACAGCAAAGUUACAAAAGCUAACAUAAUAUAGUGGGACAACUCGUGAAACUUUUGUCAGUUUUUCGAUUUUCGUACGACUCUAAGAUUUCUCUCACUUCUGUGAGUACUUUGUCUUGGAGAAGUGGUAGAGUUGGGAAUUUUGUCUGCAAAGUCUUAUUUUAGUGCUGGAAAAGAAGAUUGCGGGCGGCAAGGAGGCUUUUACUUGCAAAGCUAUUUGCAAAGUUAGUACCCACUAGAGUUAAAUUUUUUGUUUUGAAAGCAUCUUGUGAAUGUAUUCUCACUUUCCAUAUUUUGCAGAAAAGAGAGAUUGUGCUGGUCAAUAGAUGCCUUUUCAUGCAAAAGAGGGGAAGAGAUGGCGAGACAUCUCCUUCUUCACUGUCCGUGGACAAGAACGAUCUGGGUGGCACUUGUGCUGGUCAAUCACUCUUGUUUUGUUUUGGUUGUUGAUCUGGGAAGAGCAGAAUAAGAAAGCUUUCAUCUGAGAGGAGAAGCCCUAUUUUGUUAUUAUUGAUAGUUGGCUGAAAGUCUUACACUCUUGGUAUAAUGGAAAGUUAUGUCUGGAUGCAAAUGCUUUAACUGGCAUUAUUGAUGAUUUGCUUGUAACUGAACUCUUUUUGUAUAUGACUUUGCAACCCCUUGGUGCCCUAUAAUAAUCUUUUCUUUUACCUAUAAAACAAACCAUACUUAUCCCGAUUGUUCAGGAUACCAUUAUCUCCAGCAUUUAGUUAUGGUAAGGAGACCUCAUCCUCAAAGUUCCUUUUGCAGAGGCAGACAGAUGACAGUCAAAAUCAUGGAGUUCAACUCCUACCUGGUUCAUCCGUCGGCUAUCAAGUAAUAAGUUUUUCUGGUACUCUGCAUGAACAAAAAGGCUAACAAUAAGCCUUUAUAGAAAAUGAUCCCGUAGAAUUAAACAGAGACAAAUCAUUGAAGAAUAUAAUAAGGUUCCUAAUAAACAAUCUAACCAGAAUGAACGGCUUUAAUUUCCCUCAUGGUGGCGUCAGGGGACAUCAAGGGUUUAAUGAAAAACUGCGCAAACCUGUUCAACAUGUAAGAAAACAAGACAGCUGCAGAAGUUCUACAGAAUUUCCUUAAGCUAUCAAUGCGAAAAAAGAGAAAUGUCACAAUGUACCUGUCCAAUGCCUCUUCAAAGCUAUCAACAUUAACAUCGAAAUGGUAGUUCGUGUUUCUAGAUGAUGUAAAGGCAUUUCUACUACCCCCGUGCUAAUCAGCGUGAAAAAAUAGAAAAGAAGAAGAAGUUAUUUUCACAAACUUCAGCUGUGCAAAAGCAUAAUCAUGUGAAGGAAUUGCUUUGUGGAUAAAGGAACCAAUAUAGAAAACAAGCUACCACGCCACCGUAUAUUCCAAUAGAGCAUAAUAAGCAAGAAGAAGAUGCAGAUGCCGUUAUCUACAUGGAAUAAAAAGAGAGAGCUCAAGAAAUCUCGUCCAUCUAAAAUACCAAAGAAAGUUGAUGCCAUAGAAAAGUGAACACAAACUCCUGAUUCUAAGGUCACAAUUUCAGAUUCCACACCGGAUGCCAUAGCACAAUACCUUUUUACCCAUUAUUCUGAAAGCGAUUAACCUAUUCCCAAAAUUAAGCACUGGUACAUUGCCAUUGCAUCAUAUAGCAGUUAAUACUGUCUUGAUUUGAACUCUGAAAGGGAGAGGGAGACGAUGGAAGAACGUACCUUACAGAACCAAAAACAACUAGAAAUUGCAUCAUCACUAUAAGGAGCUAAUUUCCAUGUAUAAUGUGAUGAAAGCGAGAUGAACAACUGGCUCGCCUGCGCACCUUCCUAUGAUCCUAAAAUUGUAGAUGGGACUCAUUGAUUUAACAUUUUGAUCCAUAGCACCAGUACCAGAAAGACUUUGGUUUCUUUCUUAGUCCUCAGGCUACAUGCAUUCAGGUUCAGAAAAAGAAACCUAAAAUCAACUGUUCUGUUAUGCUGAUUGCUGUAGAAAAAUUCAAAAGGAACUGGGAAGUGGAAAAAGAGGCACGUCAACUAUCUACCCAGCAUCUCAGUCACAUGAAACACUCUUAGUCAUGAAGAGGAUAAGCCAGAUGCUUCAUGGAAAAAAAUGUAAGCAGUUACCUCUGUGAUGAAUUUGGAAUAACCAUCCUCCACUGGAUACCUUUCACUAGCAUAAAAUAGCAUGUGCUCUGCAACAACAUAUCAAAAAUAAGCAGGCAGGACUCAAAUGCAUCUGAUAGAAAAAGAAGCGCCUUUUGAGGCGAAAAAACGCGCAUGAUGCAGUUCAGAACCCUAGAACCCAAAUAGAGAAGAGAAACUCCAAGCAGCCAGCUUACUAGUUUAGGCGAUCAGGAAAUAAUUACAGCUGGUGGAUCAAUGACUAAGGUAUUAUAAGUUGACCGUGCUGAUCAAAAUCCGUUACUGAAGAUGUCGCUUUCAGGUGAGCAAGGUUUUAUGCCUAAAGAACGAGUGUUGUAAAAUCAACAAGUGAGAUGACCUUUCGAAACAAAAAGAAACCACACAUCUCGGUUCUCGCUUUUCUUUCGAGGGUGGUUCAUGCCGUGAAUUAAGAAUCCAAGGCGCGAGAUGUCGAAACAAGGUUUUGCAAUAAAACAAUCAGCACCUAUUUGAACUUGAUGUUAAAAUUAUAUUUGGGGAAACCACCUAUAUUUGUUAUACACCUUUUUUUUCAACCUGAUCUGUCGCUAAUACAUCCGUGAGCAGUGAAUUUUGCCUUGAAUAAAUGAUUCUCUUCACCUUCAAACAUAAGAAUUCUGGUCUGGAUGAUGUGAAGAUUAUCAACAAUUUUGACUUAAAAUUUACUGAACUUAAGAUUCUUGGUCUUUUUCCUUCUCCCCGCACAUACAAAAAUCGACAAAGAUGCAAAAGAUACUUCCACGGGCACCGCUCUUGACAGAGAUUGUAGUUUCUACAUAUUCGACCAAUUAAAAAUACGAACUAUUACCGAGAAAAUGCGCGAGACCCUCGAGCCCUUCAGGGUCGCAGAAGUAGCCGACGCCGACAUCCAUAGAAGCAGCACACUGCAGCAUCCAAGGACAACAAAAGCCACAUCCAUUAAGUCAACAGAGUCGUCAUAAGGCAUCGUUUCCUUGCAGGACGAGGCGAUAGACAAACAACAGCAGAUUAACCAGUGCAGGAAUAAACGCAAAAAAGAGUGAGCGCGGCCGAUUCGAGAGGGAUGACCUUAUCGGUGUCGGGGUCGCUGAUGAGGAGGACCUCGAGAGAGUUCUCGAGGACGACCCUCCGGUACUCCCUCUUGUCCGACCUCGGCUUCACUAUCUCCACCUCCUCCCUUCCCACCGCCAUCACGCAAAGGAGCGACGGCGAUCCUCCCCCUCCCCGGCCGGUCGCGCGAACCGGGAAACCUCCUCCGGCUCGAGAGAGAUUUCGAGCUCCGACGGAGUGGUGGUACCGCUAGCGUCGAGGGAACGCUCCGAGUCAAGUUCGAGACGCUGGUCAGCAGCAGCGACGACUUGGAAAUGUACGGUCGUCGCUGGUCAGCAUCAGCGACGGGUAGUGAGGCACGCGCGCAGGGCCCCGCUCUCCUUUCCCGCGAAAAUUACCGGAUUUCUUCACAUUUAAAAUAUUGCCUUAAAUAAAAAAGGAGCUGGCUGCUCCGUUUAUCUGGCGAAAAAUAAAUAAUAUAAAAUUACUUUUUUAUAAAAUAAUCGCUUAUGUAAUUUAAAAUAAUUAAUCAAUGAAAAUAUUUCAUCAUUAACAAUAGUUUAUUUGUCUAAACAUUUUCGUGAACAGUAAAAAUGUUUUCUGUUCAUUUUAUUUUUUAAGUGAUAUAAGUUAUUAUUUUUUUUAAAAAAAAUUCUAAGUUAUUCAUUUUUCAUGAAAUAAAUGGAGCCUAAAAUGCAUUAUUUACGGCUUAUCCAAUCACAAUGAUAAAUAAAAACCAAAAAUGUAAGUACUGAAUAAUAAGAGGCGAAAUAUUUAAAUAUUGAAAAUGAAAAUAAAAAGGUUGCUUGAUAACUUAUGAGAACAAAUUCUAUUGUUUUCUUUCUAAACAUGGGAUAGUGAGCUUUGAUAAAAUUUUACUUUAUACUAUUUAAUAAGUCAUUCUUGCUCACCCUAUUAAGUAAUUUUUCUCUUGAACUAAUCAGUUAAGCAAUAUGCAAUAAGCGGUUAUCUAACCCAUUUAAUGUGCUUAUCAGACACUACUUGGAGGAAUAUAGUUCCUAUGAUAUUUAUAAUGUGUGGCAAUAAUCAAUUUUUUUUACCUGUGCAAUGAAUUGUACUAUACUCACAUGCAUACGCAUCUCACUUUCAAUUGACCGAUUACAACCUGAUUUAUCCAUUGUUCAAAAAACAUUUUACUUGAUACGGGCGAGAAGAAUAGAGAUGAGGGGAAAGGAUUCGAAAGGAGUUCAAGUUCAAGGGAUCGUGUGUUAGAAUAUUGCUCGGAUAAACAAAGGAUAAGAAUGAAAAUAAACCAUUACGACUUAUAUGUCCUUUUAACUACUCAAAACUUAAAUUACAACAAGGGUAUAAGAUAAACUAUUUUAACUUUGAUCCCGACAUUCGAUAUCGACAACCUCCACGUCACAUGAAUGUGUACGAACUGGCAGGCGACAAUCAAUGUCCUAUAGUUCUUCUUUUUGCUUUCAAUACCCCACAGAUUUAUUGUUUAUUAGAAGCAAAGCAUUUUCUAUAAGCAACCGUGAUGACAUCGAUGGGUAUCCAUAGUCCAAAGAAUGACGAGCACAUUGAUAUCUUCAAUUGCUUUUAAUGAGUGCGUGAACACGAUGAUUGGACUUAAAAGCGUAGACACGACGUGUAAUUGUUAUCUUAUCAAACGUGACUUCUUCGAAGUAAUAUAAAUUUUUAUAUUGGCGUUCGACUCGGUCCUCUCGGCCUCGUCGAAACCUCGAAAACAGUGACCACUGUUCAGGAAGAAGAUGAACAAGAAUUGGAAGCAUGCAGGCCUCGGAAUGAAUGACGUCAGUCCCCCGUUCAUGGGAUUUCCAACCGCGGCUGUCCAGAAUACUCCGAACGUUUCUUCUAUUCCAAAAUACUGCCAUUUGAAUUAAUCCAUCUGAAAGACGAUUCGAUUCCUUACAACUUCACUCGACCACAAGCCCCUUUAAAUGAGCCAUAAAGAGGUUGAGAUCUUCAAAAAUUGAGGAUAUCCUCGAUUUGAGUAAAGGAUGGUUUUUUUUUUAUUAGUCGGUCAUUAUUUUACUCCUAUUCUAACUUUCACUCUAAGGCUUUUGCUCCCGUAAACAUGAAUGGAUAGUGUCUUCUUUCUAGCCACGCCAACUUUUUCAUAUUCAUUGAAGAAAUCCAGUAACUCUUGCUGCAUUAGCUGUCUCAGCGCUUCUACCUAUUCCAGCAUCAUUUGUAAGAACUUAAUACUAUAUUACUGAAGUUUGGCUCGAGAAUUUCAUGUAAGAUUUUUUUUUUUUAUGUGGAAUAUAUUAAUUGACAUUGUAAUUUACCGUUUUAUGAGACUUGAUCUAAGAUGAGAUAGAAGGUUUCUUAAUUAGUAUAAUAUGAAAUUGACUAGUGUGGGCCGAGUUGAGCCUAGCCCAUAAUGAGAAGGCCUAAUUGAAAACUUUAUAAAUAAUGCUUAAGUCUCUCUUCUAAUCCUAAUUCUCACAAGUAUCGUGAGCGUUUACCUAGCGAAUACAUAGGCCAAUAGUAGAGAAUGACUUGCGUAUGGAACAUCAAUUUUCCGCUUCUACUUCAAGAACGAUAUAUCCUAAAAUAGGUGCGUUCAUCUUUCUAUUAUGUGUUUUCUUGUUUUGGUUAUGGAAAUCAUGAGAUUGUGCGAUUUGCGUUCAACAUAUGGUAUCAGAGCAACCAUAACCUAGAAUUCGAAUGCAUGGAAUUUUUGUUAUAAUUUUGAGAUUUUCGUGAUUUUUUGUUCAAUAAAAAUCAAAUUAAAUUAUAUAUUCAAACUAGGCUCGUCGAGACAAGCAGAUCCAUAGGUUGCACGCCGCUAGGGCGUCGAAGAUGCGCCCCACACGCCCUCACGUGCUCCCACACGUGGGGCGCGGCUCGCGCGAGUGAUGCAUGCGGGUGCUAAUGUCACAAUGACGUCAACGGCCCGGGCCCGAUACGAUACGUGGCCGACCCGACCCAGUCAACCGGUCAGACUGGGCGGUUGGACCGAACGGUCGAGUCGGGAACCGAUUGGACCGCUAAUGGCCUAAUCGGUUUUUGACCGGUUUCUUCACCUGCGCGUGAGCUCUGUGCGCCCUGCACUUAGGCGGCGCAUGCGGGCGUGUGAGAGCUCCGAUGGGCACGUGGUUGGUAGCUACAGGUUUGUAUGAGUAUUUAUUAUCUUGUGGUGUAUUUAUUUUACAUGUUUGAUGAUUUUAUGAAUGUGAAAAUGCAUAUAAAACCCUAAAUACAUAUAUUUUUAGUGUAUUUUUGCGUAUUUUUUGCGUAUUUUUCUGUGAUUUUGAAAAUAUAGGUGGUGGUUUACAAGUAUAUUAUCACAUAAACAUUAUAAAAGUGUGAUUCAUUAAUAAUAUAUAAUAAAAUUUAAUUUUUAUUAAUGAAUAAAGUAAUAUAAUUAGUAUGAUAUGUGAUUUUAGCGAUAUGUUGCCCAUAUCACUAAAAUUAAAAUCAUAUGUAUAUGAUAUAUGUGAGAAGUAAAGUUUAUAUCUCUGAUAUGAGAUAUGUAUAUGAUGUAUGUGAGAAGUAAAGUUUAUAUCCCUGGUAUAAGAGAGUUUCAAAAAUUCAAUUGAGUUGUAAUUGCCAAAGUGGUAUACUUGAUUGAGUUUGAGAAAUUUUGGUUUCAUAUAAUAAUUGAGAUGUUUUAUGGUCUAAUGCGUAAUCAUACUAAAAAAAAAAAGAGGUGAUUAUAUAUUAGUUCAUGGAGGGGUAGAGGAGUGAUUGAUCUAAGUGGUUUAUAUGCCCAAAUGUGAUAAAUUCACGAAAAUUGAAAUAUAUUCUCAUAACCACUAUCAUGUAGGGAGUGUACAACUACAUGUCAUGUAUUCUGCCCAAAUGUAAUUUUGUGAUUUUGCAUGUAACUCUCUGAAUAUAUACUCGUACAUCAAAUUACAAAGUGACAACAUGAUGCUAAUUAUAUAUAUUACUUAUCUUUUAGUCACAUUUUCUGUAAACAGUAACUUCGUCACAAUUAAAGAUUCCGAGAUAAUAGGUUAGCUUACUAUGCCCGGAAGUCUUGAAUAAAAUGGUGUAGCUAAAAGACGCAAUCGUACUCUUAUGGAUAUGGUGAGAAGUAUGAUUAGUAGAACCAAUUUACCUGAUUUUCUAUAGGGUAAAGCUUUGAAAACAACUCUUUAUAUUCUAAAUUGUAUUCCUACUAAAGCAGUUCCAUUGACUUAUUUUGAGUUGUAGAUUGAACGUAAACCUAGUUUGAAUCAUCUUAAAGUUUGGGAAUGUCCUGCAAAGGUAAAGUUAUAUAAUUCGACAUUGAGUAAGUUGGAUUCCAAAAUUAUAGUUAUCGUAGUUAGUCCAGGUGGUUGUGAUGCUACAGCUUAAGUCGGAUUUCUUAUAAUUGACUCUUUUCUAAUUAGCUACGGGGUUUGAGCGAUCUGCGUUGCAGGAAACCUUUGAACACAUGCUCAAUCAACCGGUCUUCCUGUCCUAUUAUUUCGGGCUGAACAGUCGAAUACUGCCAUAAUGUUCUUUACUUCAAGAAAGAGACAGAAAAACAGUAGGUACCGAGGAAAUGAGCAAGACCCUCGAUGCCCGGAGGGUCGCUGUAGUGGCCGACACCCACAUCCAUAGAAACAGCACACUGAGCACAAAAGAACCAACCCAGCAUUAGAAGAUCCAUCUAAUCUAACAACAAUCGAAAAAGGCACCAGGAUGUACUCAUCAAGUGCUUCCAAUCAAGAAACAAGAAAGAAUGUGAAAGCUGUUUCCAAGCAUCGACGUUUGCCUUAUCAGUGUCGGGAUCGCUGACGAGAAGGGCCUCCAGGGAGUUCUCAAGAACCACCCUCCUGUACUCCCUCUUGUCAUUUCUGGCCUUGAUAAUGCAAUGAUCCACCAUGGUUUCUGCCAUCCUGCUCUCUGAGUCCAAGAAAAGAUUGAAAAGCAAGAGUUUUGCAGUUUGACCUCAGCCCGUCGUCUCUGAACAGAUGAACUUGCUCGUCUCGAAAUGGGCGUGCUUUAUUGGCUUGGCGGAAGGUGGGAGUUUUCGUCGUUCUUUCCUUUCUCGACAACGCGCACCACAUCAGUUUUCUGGCUAUAAACUGAAAGGGACAAAAUAUCCCAUAAAAUCUUUGGCUCGAGCUGGUCUUAGCAAAUUCAUCUUCUCGCAUGCUGUCCGCCGACAAGUCUUUUGGAGAAAUUCCCGGUUCCUGAGUGGGUAAUUCCGUGAAAAAUUCUUACACUCGUGCCUACACAAAUCGAAUUGAUCAAAGUCGUUGAUUAUGUAUCUUUCAUUAGAUGAGUUGCACAAUUUUUAUUGUAAUCAAACAUUGUGGCUUAAAAAAAUCAUGUUCUUAUAGAGAUAAUUACUUGAAAAGAAUGGGGACAACGUGUGCGGUACACAGAACAACGUGCAUGCACAUGAGCCCCACUACUAUGAGCAUGCACAUAUAGCCACACAAUUCAUGAAGAGUAAGAGGUAAAAUUGAACUUAAUGUCAAAAUGACAAGCAAAUUGAUACCUUCAAUUGCUUCAGAAGAGUCUAUAAAUACUACGGUUGAAACUUAAAAAGAUUGAGUAUCAUUUUAUACAUCACAUAUAUUUUUGAGGUGUCAUGAUAAAGAAAGAUUUACUCCUAAAAGACAUAAUAAUUAUUAUUUUUAUUGCAAUAAUUCAAAGAUAAGAAUAGAUAAAUGGAUUCUUGCUGCAAGAUAAAUAAUGAAUUGACAUAUUUAUCGGCUUCUAGUUUAGUCGAUUUCAUGAAGUGGUGCGAUUGUUUGUCUUGUUAAGGAAGACUUCUUUGGUGGAAUAUUAAGGCAACAGAAUUUUUGUCUUCCCAUUUGAUUCAUUUCGUUUUCUGUCUCAUCGAAAACAUCGACCAUCGUUCAGAAUUUAAAAGAAAAAAAAAAAAACGAAGAACAAAGAGACGUGGAGGACGGACAAUCGGGUUUCGGGAUGACCAUUGGUGUCUUUGGCCUAGUGGACGUUGUACUCGGCUGACUAAAUCGGAAAGUGGCUUUCUCUCUGUUCUCCUUUUCCAAUUCUAGCAAUGGUUAUCAAAAAAAUUCUAAACUAUUUUUAUUUAUACAAGUUGAAAUUUUAGUCAAUUUAAUUUUAAAUUUUUUUAUAAUUUAUUAAUUUUAACUGGAUAUUACUGACGUAGACACCGAUUUUUUUUAUAUGGUAUGGUUGACGUUGACGUAAUCAAUUUUUGUAAUUUUUAAAUGAUUUAUUUAUUUUCCUUUUUUUCUUUUUUCCCCUCUUUCUUUUUUAUUUUUAAAUAGGCCAGAAAGGGCAUAGCAGCCCUUGCCAAUCACUUGGCUGGUAAGGGUCGCGACCUUCUUUCCAAAUUUGGGUUAGGCAACUCCUGCGGCCACCUUAAGACCUUGGAUUGGCAAAAGGAAUAAGAAAAAGAGGAAAAAAAAAUCAUUAAAGAAUUACAAAUUUUAUCCAUGUCAGUAUCAAUCAUGUUAUAAAAGAUGGCUGGCAUCAAUGUCAGCAAUGUCAGCAAUUUCUGACCAAAAUUAUCAAAUCAUUAAAAAGUUUAAAACUAAAUUGACCAAAGACUAAAUUGGUAUAAGUGCAAUAAGUUUCGAUCUUUUUUUGAUAAUUUGCUCUACCCUUUGUGCUUCAAAACUGAGUUUUGCAUUUAUUUUUGUUUUUCCUUUUUAUCGAUUGACCAUCGGGAGUUGUACUAAGAUCAGAAUCACAUUAUACGAAAUGCAUUUAUAUGUUGUCACGCCAUUAACAUGAAUAUAAAAAGCAAAACCAAAUCAUACACACCCAAGGAAUCUCAUUUUACCUUAGCAAGGAAAACGCCACAAGAAACAAGAGAGGGCUGGCAAAGACAUUGAAAGCGAAGGUCCAUCAGACAUAAUUAUACAAUUUGGGUGUCGCCAAUGCACAACCGAGUCCCUGAAAUUGUACAUAAGUCAACCGACUUCUGCUGCCUUCUGCGUAGAAGUUUCAAGUUUCAGAGCUGAGCUGAAUAACAGAACAAACUUCGUUCUUUACUUAUGCAGGUUAUAAUUGAAGAAAAAAUGCAAAUAAUAAACAACAUUUAAGUUCUCCCCGCUCAUAGACGAUCUCCGACUGCAACAGUGUCCAUUUCUACUGCAGAAUACUCCCAACGUUCCUUCUACUCCAAAAUACUGCUGUUUAGAGAGAACCUUAACAUUAUCUGACUUUCUUCAUCUGGAAGACAAGUAUCGAUACCUUACAACUUCACUCGACCAUAAGCCCCUUUAAAUGAGCCAUAAAGAGGUUGAGAUCUUCGAAAACUGAAGAUAUCCUCGAUUUGAACUGAGGAUGGUUGAGCCGGUUGGUUUUUGUCGGUCGUGUACUCAGAUGCGUGCAGGCUCCCAUAAACUCGAAUGGAUAGUGUCUUCUUUCUAGCUGCGCCAACUUUUACAUAUUCAUUGAAGAAAUCCAGCAACUCUUGCUGCGUUAGCUGUCUCAGCGCUGCUACCUGUUCCCAUAUCAUUUGUAAGAACUUAAUACUUUAUUACUGAAGUCUGGUCGAGAUAUUCGUCCUAAACAAAGGCUAUCAUUUAUAUCAAUUGUGUUUCUCCAACUACUAUCCCUUAGUGCCGGCAGCUCCACCCAUUUUAAAGGUCAAAGCAGAAGGAACAAUUACAGUCCAAGUCGUGGUUCAUACCUCAGUUACUCUCCUAUCAAAUUUCAGAGUUCCAUCGGAGAUUUCUCUCCAGUAGAAUGCACAUUCUUCCCUCAGAUUCUUGUGCUUCUCGAGCUUCAUAUCGAUCAAUGCAUUCACAUUGCUCUGCAUGUGAUAGGGAAGCAAAAUGACCAUGAAUACCUUUUAGCUAAAGAUAGCUCAGUUAAUUUGCAAUAUCCUUGACACAAGAAUGCACUCAAGUACAAAUCUUGAAAAUGGGAUGGAUUUUGGGAAAGCCAGUAAGAAAGGAAGUCCUUAUUAAGCAAUUUUGGAAGUGAUUUUUACCCCCAGAAAAUGAAACACUAUCACAAGAGAUUUUUCCUAUCAAGUAAUUCUCAUAUAAGAUCCCCAAAGAUUCUUGAUGCAUUUCUGUUUUUUGGAUGCAUGCACCAUCACUAGUCCAUGAGUCUAUCCAGGAAGAGGGACUAAGGAAGUUCUUGAUGCAAUCUUUUCCAGGUACAUGCACUAUUACCCCUUCGAUAGUAAGCAUUCAGGACGUAGAUGAACAAGACUUGGAACCAAUAUUUGUCCAUAGACUGACAGAUAACGUCAGCUUACUUUCCCUUCUAUGAACACUUACUCAGCAGUCGCAUCCAACACUGCUGCGGAUUCUUACUGAAGAAAAGGCCAGCUGACAUCUUAAGAGUAAUAGUAUGAACACCUACACUACUUAGUUGAGAAUAUCCUUAACAGGGAAUGCUCAUAAAAGUGGCCACGCCAUUCAAAGAUUUCACUCUUAAUGUACCUUCCACAUGCCAAGGGUCUUGAACACGUACUUCAAUUACAGAUCUAAUACCAGAAUUCAAUGGGUAAUCUUAGCAUUUGAUAUGUAUUCCUAGUGGAUCUCAAUUUUUCAAUUAUUCAACCAUGUCAUUUUACCAACGUUGUCACUGAAUUAAUGUACCUCCAAAUGCCAGCAUUGUUUGACUCACCUUGAAGUCUUCAUUUGUCAUCUGAGAUAGUUUGCUUUCGAACAUUUUUAGGAAUUCCUCAACUCUCAAAUCAAUAUUACCAGGCCCCUAAAAAGAUGGACAUAUUAGAAUAUGAGGCAAUGACCUUGGUCCUAAAAGACAAACAAAAUGUUGCUAGUCACCUUCACUGUGGAUUGGAUGAUGAAUUGUAGUCCAUGAAUUCCAAAAUCAUUCCUUUGUUGAAGGAGACAAAAAAAAUGAGAAACAGUAACUAUGCAUUGAAACUCUGUAGGUCAAGGAGUGCCUCAAAUACCUGUGCAUAAGCCUGGUUAUGUACCCAAGCUGCUCCACAGAUCUAAGCUGGUGGAAUGCUGCUUGCUUGGCGAUUAGAGCAAAAAGCUGAAGCUUUACAUUCAUCAUGAUAUCAUCCUGGUGAACCUACAUAAUCAAUCAAAUAGCAAAUCAAAACCCUUCCAAAGAAACAAGAGAUUGAAAAAUUAAAAGAGCAAAACAUUACCAUAGUCACACCAGAAGAAGAGGGGAGGGGGAGCUAGAUACUCUCAUUUUAUGAAUUUGGGCAAAGGAAUAUGAAUAUAUGACAAAAGUAAAUCAACUCACAGACAACAGCAGAUCAAAGAACAACUUCGGAGUAAGAAUAUAUAAGCUACUACAGAAAGGUAGAUGAAUUAAAAUGACUUUGAAAAAACAAGUCGAUAUCGUAUUAAAAUGGGAUCUUUCAGAUUAUACUAGUUAUCAAAUUAUAAUAUAGUCAGAUGUAUCCUUUGUCAAGCCCCAGACAACAAGAGAUCCAAUGACAUCCUUACCAAAAAUGAAAGAAAGUCCAUCUUCUGGUCUUCUAGCUAAUCUCAAAUCACCAAUAGUAAAUGGAAAAAAACCAAACGCUCAACUGGACAGACUAGGCAAGAGUAUAUGCACACGGCAGUGAAAAUAAGACAACCUCCUAAUUUUUGAAUUCACCAAAUUUUGGAGUGUAAAAGAGGAUGUAACAGGAGGAAUUCAUAGUGUCCAAUAAAUGCUAUUUUAUAUCAUUCUGAAGACAAGAAUAUAGCCUUACACUCCCUUCAAGACAUAGGAACAAGAAUAAGCAUAAUUAAAUUCUAAAUCUAAAGUCUCUAUAGGUGAAGAUCGACAGGGACAGUAACAGCCAAAAUGAUCUUCAUUCCAAAGAUAACAUAUAUGCCAAGCUUUCAGGUUACAUCCUGACAAUUUCACACCUGCAUAUGCAAAUCAAGUCGGGGAACUACCUGAAUAUAAUGCACCAGAGCAGAAUUCUCAUCACUUGGAUUUGGGCCUUUUGUACAGUAGAAGUGACUCGAUCCAGUUCCCAGUUUAACCACUCUAUUUGUCAGAUGUUGUGACGGAUAUAAAGGUUGGCAUAUUGGCUGUGGACCAUGGAAAAGAAUAUUUUCAAUAUGCUGAACUAUAGACUCUGCUUCGCCACGUUCAAUAUUCCCUACAAAAGAGGUAGCAGAUAUAACUCGAAACUCAAAAGGGGAUGGCAGCGAUCUACCGCAAAUUUUAAAAUGAAGCUGUAAACUAAAUACCAGCUAUGUAAAACUCCAGGAAGGUCCUCGAUAACAUUAGAGGCAAAAAUUUGGUGAGAUCUUCGCCCCUAAUUGAGGGAAGAGCUUCGAGUUGUUCUGUCCAGGGCCAGGUGUUGUCUCGCAGUAUUAGUGAACAAUAGGACUUGGCCUGCUCAUAUGGUUGCUCAAACUUCAAAUUCUGAUAAUCCUUUGUCACCACUUCCUGUAACAUAUAUGGCCAAAUAGAGAAUCACAAGUAACUUUGCAAAAUCAGAAAGUGAAUGGUGCAGAUAUUUCUGUGAGAGAGAGGAAGGGCAAAAGUUUACCUUGAUCACAACAAAUCUCUCAGGUCUCACUUCAAAGGUUGCAAUUUUCUCGAUGACUUUUUCCAGCAAUAUCCUUAGCUUGUGACUAUAACCAACCACAGUGACCUAAGUACAGAAACAUAUGGUUAGCACAUAGAAAGUCCGCUCCUGCAUACACAAGAGAGACUAGGGCACUCUGUAGAAUUGCUUGCCCACUCUAUUUCCAUUUCAAAAUAUUUAAAGAUCUUUUUUCUGGACAGAAAAAUGAGUGAAGGAAAAGCAUAAAAGCAUUUCCCAGUCUUUUUAUGUUUAUCUAAACUAAAAGUAGCUUAUUUCAAAGACAAGAACCUGAAAACCUGUGUUGGUGUCAUGCACACUGUAAUAAAGGCCAGCAACCCGUGCAUCAUAAGCUGAAACAUACCCAAAAAAGAAAAUUAAGUAGAAAACCAACCAUAUAUGGUCACGGCAAUAUACAAAUUAGAAGAACAGGUUUGCAGAAGAAGAGGGACUGAACACUCCAUACAAAAUCACAUUGAACUUUGAAUGCCAUUUUCAAAGGAAUAACUCCAGUAAAAUCAAGACUGACAUAAACAUAGCAUGAGAUAUUCCUAUAUAGUCUAGUGUACUUUAGAAUCUUACCAAAUUCAUUUAAGUAAUCCAUCAACAACCGCGUAAACAAAUCAGUCAGCAUUACAGCUUCAGAUGAGUUGCUAGCAUGGGGGCAGCUGAAAUCUAUUUUAAUAUAUGCCUUGGGAGUGGAGAAUGCAGUAUCAGGCUUGAACCACAAUGUUGAGUACGAUGACUUCCUCAAGAGAAUUGGCAAGUUGGUCUGUUCAAAAGAUUAGUUACUAUAGAAGCUAAAAAAUGAACAUGAUAAGUUCAGAAUGUACUGUACACAACACCUUUUCUUCUGAAAUAUUUAGAGAUAAGUCGGUAGGGAUAAAUAUAUUGGGUACUGGUAGAUGCAAAUUUUCAUCAGGAGAAGAUGACAUCCAUUCCUGCAAAUCAAAUACAGACAAUAUAAAGGAUUAUUCUUUCUGUUCUCCACCAAAAGAAAAAAUUGUAUGCUCCAUCUCCAGUAAUCUCAUUUGUCUCCCUUCUUUUAGUGUAAAUCUGCACACUACAUUUUGAAAGAAGUACAAUCACCCCAGUUGGUCUGAGAGGGUCUGCAUUAUUUUAGUUGAAGAAGUACACCUAUCAAAAGCAAUUGAUGGGACUAUAGUAGUGAUUAUCUAUCAGACAUCAUAUAUAUACGAUUCACCAAGUAUUUAAUAGAAUCACGCCACCAAAAUACCAAAAGAACAAUUUUUGUAGACCUGAAAAUGUUUGAAUAUUUCAGGUAAUGAAUGUUCAUUUUGGGGUUGCAAUUUUGCCAACUACUAAACAAAAUCAAUUGAAGAUUAGGAUUCAAUCAUCAAAGCAUAAUGUGCCACUUCAUCUGUGAAACCUCUCACUUAGAAAAAAAAAAAACAGUGAAAAGACUAACAAGGAUGGGAUACCUGUAUAGUAGAUGUGGAGAUUUUGUUCAUAGAAUAUGCUGUUCCAUACCAUGGUUCCACCAUGUCAGUUAAUCCUUCAAAACUCUUGGACUCCCAAAAGAUUCUGUUUGAUAAAAUAUUCAUUCCUAUUUAGGAUUAUAUUGACAUAUAAAGCAUUCCAAUUUGCGAAAGAAAAGAUAGUCACAAUACAAUCACUGUAGAGAAUUUUUUAUAUUGCAUAUGUUAGCAAUAAUUAUGAACAGCAUGACUUAUUUCUGGCAAAUAGGGAUGGUAACUAUCUUGGAUUAGUUAUGAUUUUAUUAGGACAUUCUGGAUUUGAUGUUCAUCAAACAAGCUGGAAAGUGGAAUUGGUUAAAUUACAUUGGUAAUGAAAUGGCAGUUUGGCAACUGUUUUCUCCAGUUGUUUGCAUUAAAGACAUGUUAUAGAAAAACUCAACAUUGAAAGAGCUUUCUCAAGUUUGACUUUGGUGUAACCUGUGCAUGAAUAUCCUUAUUGUCAAAUCCAUGCAGAUUGGCCAUAGAAAAUCAUUGCAGAUGACUUUUCCUAGUUUGAUUGCCUCUAUACAGACAAUAUGGUGCCAGCAUGAAGGGGUGUGUCUGGACAGGUGAAUACAUGUGAAAGUGUGUGUUAUUACCGCCUUUUUCCACUUCUUGCAAGUGUUGAAAUGGCAGUGAGGUGGGUUUGGAAUGGUCGACCCCAUAAAGACCAUGAACCUGAUUAGUCCUCUAAAACAUGUUUUCUGAUAGGAGUUUCCCAACUCAUCCCAAUUAAGUAUAUGAGAACCCAAAACCCGACAAUUUUUUUUAGUGUUUUGAAUAAAUAAAUAUACCUAAAACUAAAAUAAUAAUAUAAAUACCAAAAUAACACAAUGCAGAAGAAUAAAAAUAUUGUGGUCACGUUUUAUUGAGGUACACGCCAACUAAAUCCUCCAAACCAUAAAGGAUCAAAGAGUUCGGACAGGUCGAGAAACCAAGUUAAACUGACCCUCUGGUAUUCCUAUGCAGUUUUGACAUCCAUACAGAGGCCCAGUGAACUAAAUUGUCUUUGAUAAACCUUCAAUGCACUUGCAAUGCGGCAACCGGGAAAGGAACAAUGAAAUAAUCAUUAUAAACAUCGGUCAUUUGAUAAUCCUUCAAGGCAUGAUUUUAAUACUCUCUUAGUAAUAAUAGACUCACCGGACAUUGUCUGGAGAGAGCUUAUCCAGCACCAUUUGAAUAGUGCCAGGAUUGAAUUCACAAGGCAAAGAGGAUCCCACGAUCCAAUCCUCUUGUGGAUAUAUCUAAGGUCCAGCAAAAAAUUGUUAAAUUAGAUGGUACUCAUAAUCGCAAUGAUUUCAAUUCAAUCAGGGAUGGUGUGCAUUAAACGCAAAAGGAGAGGAGUCUCCCUAAGCGCAAGUUCUUACUGAAAAAUGGAGUACUUAAAAGAAUCAAAUAUUUACAUCUCAUCUGAAUUUCAUUUACUCUAACCCCAAGAACUGAUGACAAACAUCUGAAGAUGUUGAUCCUAGAUAGAUGAGCUUUGCAGGUACUUGUCAUGCUGUUUAUGGCCUUCGAACUCUUGAGAAUCAAUUCGACCUGAACAACUAGCACUUUGCAAGAGUGCGACCACUCUACAGCAUUCAGGGACAGGUGCAUGUUUUAAGUUGUGGCUGAAGCUGCCCCCAUGGAAAUCCAUGUAAGAUAAUAUUUUCAAAGCAUUUUAAAGAUCCUUUCAUUGAUGCACCCUUAUAAGCCAUUGUUCAAUGUGGAACACUUAAAACCUUUCAAAACAUACAAAUAUUGACAUGUAAAUUCAAAUAUAAUCUUUCAUAAAACUUAAGUAUCUUUUCCUUUCUUGCAUUUGGAAAGGAAAUCCACUUUUGCUUUUUUAAUUAAAACCAAACGAGCUCCUAGUUACAGAUUUACUUCAGUGAUAUCAAUAAAUUAAUGUAAAGUUAAUUUCCACGUCAAAAGAAUUCUACGCAGCCCUUAAUAACACUUAGGCACCACCCACAUAUUAAAAAAAAAAAAAAAAGGCAAAAGGGAGAUCUGAGGAAAUGCUUGACUUACCUCCAUAUUGGAUGCGACACGGACUACGUAAUGAAUGGGAGGGAUUUUGUCUUGAUAAUGGAACUUAGUCUCGCACAAGGCUGAGAGCUUCAUCAACACAUCCAAGAAUGGAUAAGUUUUGAGGAAAGUAUAUAUUUACAAAAACAAAAUCUAGAGUGAACAACUAUCCAAUGAAAUGCAGCUUGAAAAUCAAGAAAACUUCGAAAACAUCAUGAACCAAGAUGCAUUAAAUUAGUGUGGCAUUCAUAGAAAUUAUUAUGUGCAACCCAAUCAAAAAAAUGACACUAAAGCGUGUCAAUGAAAAAUAAAUUAAUUGGUUAUCUUGCACAUGAACGAUGCCAUGCAGCCCAAACAUCUGCUAGUGAUAACCACUUUCAUUAACUCAUAGAUGCGGGUAUCGAUAUAAAAAAGAUAGCAUGUAGUGGAUUUACCUGCCUGACAUUCUUGUAGCAUAUCUCAAUGAAGUAUAAACAAAUGGACCAAUUAGCUCAUGACUAUUUCUCAGCAUAAUGAUAUAUUUAAAAUGACUUGGAAGAAUACAGAACCAUAUUGUGCCGGUAUCUGUCUAAAUCUGUUUGUGUGCAAUCGCCAAAACUACUAUAGUUGUUCAACGUACUAUACAUUUAUGAACAAGAAGAAUGACCAAUAACAAAUAGGUGAUGCCCUUAUAUGGUUUUCAAUAUUUUUCUAUAUGCAGAUAAGAGAACGAGAUGCCAGUUGAAAAACUGAGUAUAAACACAACCGCUGAUAGCAGUAGAAGAAAUUGCUCAUAUGCAUGCCAUCGGAAGUCAAUCUUUGCUUUUCCCAAGUGAAUAAAAAUAAAAUAAGCAACCUUUUCCACAUAUUUCAUUUUAAUACCUCAUCAAAUAUCCACUUGCAAACACCGGACUGCUGUAAGAGAAUAAUAUAUUUGAACAACAAUCCAACGAUAUCUUGCACAUGUUCUGUAAACAAGUCAACGAAAUUUCAUUAACCUUGAAAACCAACUAAUCCAUAGAUGAAUGGACAGAAGAGUACUUCUAGACGGCAGCAAGAAGAAAAAAUCAAAGCUCCUAUAAGUAGAGUAUAGUCUACGGAAUAAGAGGACCUCAUGAGACAACUUUAGAAUCUAGUAGCAGAAAAACAACUACAUCAUAUAACAAUUUCAAACCAGCAAUUGCCAAACAUCUUCUAAAGUGCAAUAGGCAUAGGUAAAUGACAAUUACAUGAUUUUAAGGCAUAGACUCGUUAAAAAUAUAUCAAGUUCAAAUUUUCCACCAUGAAACCAUGGUAUCAUCAAGUUUGGGAAAUAGCCAUGUUUCAGUCAAGAACUAAAUGGAGAAGCCAAAUUAAAGUGAAAAAGAAGAUAAGUCAGAAAAGGAAAUAUUAAGUUCGAAACUAAAGCUCUUUCUGGCCCAAGCAGAAAAUCAUUUUCACCACAAUUUUUACCUCCAAUUGUCACUGGGACAAUUAACGAGUAUGCAAAAUGCAAUGCAAUCACUAAUUCCUCCUACUUAAAUACUAGGAAAGUUGACAAACAUGAAUGAAAAAAAAACAUAUUCUGAUUGCUAUUAAUAAAUAUGAAUGCUAAAAAAAAAAAACCUACUAAAAACAACGUGGAAAAUGGAAAAGCUUAUCAUCUCUGUGAUCACGCAAAUGAAUACUUGAGAAUGUGACAAAUGAGAAAGGGGCGGCGCAAGCCUGGAUGCAGGCAGGGGGAGACUCAUGCAAAUUGAUAGCACAGCUGCACAUGCCUAAAACAACAAAUCCAUCAAAAGCACAUGCAAGCGCAGGUGUGCAAGGUAGGGAGGGAGGGGGAGAGAGAGAGAGAGAGAGAGAGAGAGAGAGAGAGGUGUUUCGUAUGACAAACCUAUAGGAGAGAAUGAAGAAUAUGAAUAAACUAACCAUGACCAGCAUCAGUAAGAUCGAUUUCCACUGUAAAAAAUGCAAAUUCCCAACAUGACUCCCAUUCACCAGCAAACAAACUCGUAGCCCAUCCUGCAGCAUCAGAGCCACAAAAUGACAAGAAGACAAAGCAUUAGUAAUUUUUCUACUUUUGUGUAAAAAACCUAUGUGAAGGAGAGCAAUUCACAGGCAAUGUAGUUAAAUUAGAUAAGUUCUUCUAAGGAAAAAGAGAAAAGAAAGAGAUUCUAAUGCUUCCACCAACCCUGGAGAAACUAUAACUUUUCCACCAUAAAAGUGGGUGGUGUUCAAAGCCAAAACUUAGGCUGCCUUGGCCAUACUAAGCAUGAGUAGAGGCCCUAGGUCAUCCAACAUUGAGUUUCAGUGCCAUGAAGAGUUUACAAUUCUGUAGUCUGUAAUGUUACCAUAGUGAACCCCAAAUAGUCGUUGCUAAAUAACAAGCUGUCACGCUCCAGCUAUCCUACUUGCUCUGCAAUUCUAUUAUUUGUGGAAGGACACCAUUCAAGAGUACAGUCUCAAGUUGCUAAAUAAUAAACUAACAUUUUACAGCUAGUUUACUUGCUCUGCAGUUCUAUUAUUUAUGGAAAGACGACAUUCAAGAGAAUAGUCUCAAGAACAUGAUUUUGGGUUAAAAUGUCAGGGAGACAAGAUCUUGAUAAACCAUAGCCUCUUUUUUUUUUAAUAAGUAAAAGGGUGGAGAGGCAAUUAGUGCUAAUGACUUCCUCUAGACGUUACCAAUAGAUUAUCAUCCUUACGGCAAGAUGGAAGAAUGCACUAGCUCUCUAGUUGCACCUGGACUACAUUAUUGUGGUAUCAGGACUGUGCUGUGGACAAGCUUUGUGGUUUUAUUUCACGACAGAUACUGAGGAGAAUGAGGUUCCAGCUCUGCAGGGGACUUUUAUAUCAUUUUUCUUUUGGCCAAUAGAUUUUUCCGUUGUUGAAAAGCAGAAAUUGCCACACAUUCAGCUGUCAUUCUUAUUUAUGAGGAAGAAAAUCUCUUAAAACUUCCAGAGAAACAGUAGCACCUCUGUAAACCUGUAGAAAAAGAUCACUUUCUUUUCUUGAUUAAUGGUACCCAAGGAAGCUCCAUAUGAAGACCAGACAAUUUCUAUACUCAAUGCUACAACUCGCACUUUCCUAUCUGGGUUGGCAACCCCAGCAUAAUUGCAAGUAGAAAUUUCUUCUGUAGAGAGAGAGAGAGAGAGAGAGAGAGAGGCAGGCAGAAACUUUGAAAUUUCCAGGGACUAGCGUUGACCAUUUAAAAUUCUGAAGCGAGAAAACUGAUGGACAUACUUACAAACCAGUUUUAUAUAUUUUCUUCAUAUAUGAACAUGUGAAUGAGAUGAGAAAUGGAGGUGCAGAUAAAAGGGAAAGGUGACUUGUGAGGAAGUAAAAGUCGACUGUUAAAAGCACCUAAAGAUCAACCCAACGAUAUAACCAUCAGAGUCUCCUAUGUGCAUUCUGUUUCCAGUUCCUAACAAAGGACAUCAAACUAAAAUAAUUGCAAAAGGCUUUUGUUAUUGAGUGCCCCUAAGGGCACUUGUAUAUGAAAGACAUUUAAAAAAAAAAUGCAGUACUUUUAUAUAUCACAAGAAAUCGAAACAUGCAAAACUUACCUUUAACAUUGUCAAAGAAACCAUAUUUGAUCUGCUGACUAUUUGAAGUUUUUUUUCACAAAAAUUAUUUGAUCUAUUUGUGCAACCAUCAGUCAAAAUUUUUUGUAUGUUUCUUCUUCACAUAUUUUCAUCACAAUUACAAAUGCCCAUGAUCGGGAAUUUGAUGGGCAAAAUCUUGUGAAAGAUGUGCAGACCCACCCAAUGUCUUCAAGACAUAAAAGAGAGACCCUUCUCCUUGAUGGCCUAUAAGAUGACCAAGAUACCUGCAAGGCCCUUCCUUGUAGUGUUGAAUCUCUGGAGUCACUGGCCAGAUAACACUCAAUUUAUGACCUUGUUUGAUUGGGACAGCUUUCACAAGAAUCUGGAGAUCAAAUUUAAGAAAUCAAGAUCUUCAUAAUUUCUUUCAAUUAGCCUUACCCUUUCCACGCUUAAAUUAAAAAUUGGAAAUCGUAGAAUCUUAGACUAAACACAACAAUCUUGGCAAGGACGUGAAAACCUGUAGAUGCUCUGUGCUGCAAGGUUGUCCAGGAAAAUGAGAGCGGCUUUUGUCAGUAUUUAGAAUUUCUUGGAACUUGUCUUUUACCAGAGAGUAAAUUUCAUCUGGAUUUUCUGCAAUUGUCAUCAGAGAUACAAAUUAGCUGAAUAUUUAGAUUUAUCAAAUUUUUGCACAUCUCAAGGAAGUUAGUACAAAAUAUGGUUGGAAUUAUCUGAGUUAUCAGUAUUUCUUUUUUUCAUAAGUCAUCAGUAUUUAGAAACUAGGUUUGAGACAAACCUUUUGAAUAUACGACCAGAUGCAUGAGAUUAGCUGAAUAGUUCUCCUUGUAAAAUUGGAUGAGCUCAUUUCUAAUAUCUAGUCCUUUUGCUCUCGGUCCAAUCUCCAAGGUAUCCCAAUUUCCUGUAAUUGCAAGAAGCAAUGUGUUUUUGCAAUGAUGAGAAACGGUAUAAACAAGACAAAUCACCUUGCUUCUUGCUUUUUAUAAGCAUACAUAUAUUGCAAUAGACUACAAUUACUAACAUAAAAUGAAACUGGAAUUAUUCUAAAAGUUAAAAAAAUCAAAGAAUGAGGGGUUUACCAAAGGAGAAUGUUUAUGCUCUUUGGCCUUAGUCACAGACAAAGCUGAGACACUUACCUGUGCUAAACUUAUGAUAAGGAUGACUUUCCUCGCUUAUGUGUCUCUGAAGCUGCAUAGUUGGAUCAGUGUCAGCACCAGCAUGAGUGAGAGAAUAACUGACUCUAUAGAGCAUAGGAUCAUCAUUUUACACAUUGAAAGUGAUUUAUUGCAGAACAAUAAAUUUUGUACAGAAAAGUUACAAAAGCUGACAUAAUUAAAUGGGAGAACUCAUGAAGCUUUUGUCAGUUUUUUUCGAUUUUCUGUAUGACUCUAAGAUUUCUCCCACUUCUGUGGAUACUUUUUCUUGAAGAAGUGGUAAAGAUGGGAAUCUUUUCCGUAAAGUCCUAUCAUAGUGCUGGAAAACAAGAUUGUGGGUGGCAUGCGAGGAGGCUUUUCCUUGGAAAGCAAUUUGCAAAGUUGGCACACACCAGAGUUAAUUUUUUUGUUUUGCAAGCAUCUUGGGAAUGUAUUCUCACCUUACACAUUUUGCAUUAAAGAGAGAUUGUGCCUGUCAAUAGAUGCUUUUUUAUGCAAAAGAGAGUAGAGACGGUGAGACAUAUCCUCCUUCACUGUCCAUGGACAAGAACUAUCUGGGUGGCACCUAUGUGUGCACUAUAUCUCGGGAUAUAGGAGGAUUUAUUGAACAAGAAUAAUGGGCUUGGCAAAGUCUUCUUUUGACUUGUGUUAAGAAAAAGAGGAUUUCUUCAAUCCCUCUUGCAAUUUUUUGGUUGAUUUGGGAGAGCGGAAUUGGAGAGAUUUCAUGGGAGAGGAGACACUUGUUUUUGUUAUUAUUGGAAGUUGGUUUUGUGAGAUUUUGUGGGACGACUAUCGAUUGUUCUAAAAGCUUAAAUUGUUAGAUGAAUGUAUGAUUUAUUAUUUAAAUAUUCUAACACUCCCCUCCUCACGCUUAGUCUAGACUUUUUUCUGCCCAGUACUAAGCGUGUAAAAUAUUAAAUUGGGGAGGCAAAUGGGGCCUGGUAAGAUUUGAACUCAAGGUCUCUAGCUCCGAUACCAUGUGAGAUUUUGUGGGACCACUGCUGACUAUUCAAAAAGAUUAAGCUAUUAGAUGAAGGCGUGAUUUAUUAUUCAAAUGUUCUAACAGGUUUAAGUCCUGCACUCUUGGUACAGUGGAAAGUUAUGUUUGGACAUAAAUGCUUUAAUUGACAUUGUUGAUGAUUUAUCUUGUAACUCUUUUUCUAUAUGAGUUUACACCCCCUUGAUGCUCUAUAGUAAUCUUUUCUUUUACCUAUAAAACAAACUAUACAAAAUGGCCUUAUCCUGAUUGUUCAGGAUACCAUUAUCUCCAGCAUUUAGCUACGGUCAGGAGACCUUAUCCUCAAAGUUCAUAUUCAGUGGCAGAUAGAUGACAGUCAAAGUCAUGGUCAAUUCUGUCAUCAGUCGUUUAACUCCUACCUGGUUUGUGCGCCAGUAAUCAACUAAUAAGUUCAUCUGGUUCUCUGCAUGAAGAAAAGGCUAACAAUAAGCCUUCGUAGAAAAUAAUCCUGUAGAAUUAAGCAGACACAAGCCAUUGAAGAAUAGAAUUAUAAUACUUAAGGUUCCUGAUAAUCAAUCUAACCAGAAUGAACAGCUUUAAUUUCCCUCAUGGUGGCAUCAGGGGACAUCAAGGGUUUUAUGAAAAACUGCGCGAACCUGCUCCACAGUUAAGAAAACAAGACAGCUGCAGAAGUUCUACAAAAAUUCCUUAAGCUAUCAAUGAGAAAAAGAGAGAGGUCGCUGUAUACCUGUCCAAUGCCUCUUCAAAGCUAUCGACAUUAACAUCGAAAUAGUAGUUUGUGUGUUUGGAUGCCGUAAAGGCAUUCAUUCUUCCUCCGUGCUAAUCAGUGUGAUAAAAUAUGAAGAGAGUUAUUUUCACUAACUUCAGCCAUGUAAAAGCAUAUAUCACGUGAAGGAGUUGAUUUGUGGAUAAAGGAACCAAAUAUAGAAAACAAGCUACCAUGCCACCAAAUAUUCCACCAGACCAUAAUAAGCAAGAAGAAGAUGAAGAUGCGGUAAUCCACAGGGAAUAGAAAGAGAAUGCUUAAGAUAUCUCGUCCUUCUAAGAUACCAAAGAAAGUUGACGCCAAAGAAAAGUGAACACAAACUCCUGAUUCUCAGGAUCACAAUUUCAGAUUCCUCACAGACUGCCAUAGCACAAUAUCCUUUUCCUCAUUAUUCUGAAAGAGAUUAACUUAUUGGCAAAAUUAAGCACUGAUACAUGGCAAUUGCAGCAUAUGGCAGUUAAGUAGUGUCUUGAUUUAAACUCCGAAAAGGAGAGGGAAACAAUGCAAGAACGUACCUUACAGAACGAAAAACAACUAGAAAACGCAUUAUCAUUGUAAGGAGCUAAUUCCAUGUAUAAUGUCAUGAAAGUGAAAUCAACAACUGGCCCUGAUUGUAUCUCGCCUUUGUUUCUAAGAUCCUAAAGUUGUACAUAGGACUUGUUGAUUUAAGAUUUUGGUCUGUAGCACCAGCAUCUGAAAGACUUUAGUUUCUUUUAUAGUCCUCGGGCUACAAUUUGGGGUCAGAAAAAGAAACCUAUAAACAAUUGUUCUGUUAUGCUGAUUGCCAUAGAAAAUUCAAAAGGAACUGGGAACUGGAAAAGGAGGCACGUCAACUAUCUACCCCUCAUCUCAGUCACAUGAAACACUCUUGGUCAUGAACAGGAUAAGCCAGAUGCUUCAUGGAAAAAAUGUAAGCAGUUACCUCAGUGAUGAAUUUGGAAUAACCAUCCUCCACUGGAUACUUUUCACUAGCAUAAAACAGCAUGUGCUCUGCAACAACAUAUCAAAAAUUAGCAGGCAGGACUCAAAUACAUAUGAUAGAAAAAGAAGCACCUUUUGAGGCAACACGCAUGGUGCAGUUUGGACCCCUAGAACCCAAAAAGAAAGGAGAAACUCCAAGCAGCCAGCUUAUUAGUUCAGGCGAUUGGGAAAUAAUUACAGCUGAUGGAUCAAUGACAAAGGUAUUAUAAGUUGAUUGCGUAGAUCAAAAUCUGUCACUAAAGAUGUCGUUUUUGGGUGAACAAGGUUUUAUACCUAAAGAACUAGUGUUGUAAAAUCAACAUGAGAAGAUGAGCUUUUGAAACAACAAGAAACCAAAAAUCUCAGUUCGCUUUUCUUUCAAGGGUGCUUCGUGCCGUGAAUUGAGAAUCCAAGGUGUGAGCUGUCGAAACAUGGUUUUGCAAUAAAACAAUCAGCAUCAAUUUGAACUUGAUGUCGAUACUACAUUAAGGGAAACACCUAUAUUUGUUAUACACCUUUUUUUCUACCAGAUCUGUCGCUAAUGCAUCGGUGAGUAGUGAAUUUCGCUGUGAAUAAGCGGUUCUCUUCACCUUCAAACAUAUAAUUUCUCUUCUGGAUGAUGUGAAGACUAUCAACAAUUUUGACCUAAAAUUUACUGGACUUAAGAUUCUUGUUCUUUCUUCUUCUCCCCGUGCAUACACAAAUCGACAAAGAUGCAAACAAUACUCGCUUCACAGAGAUUGUAGUUUCUACACACGCCUUCAAUAAUAUUUAAAAAAGAAAAAAAAAGCACAAACUAUUACCGAGAAAAUGAGCAAGGCCGUCGAGGCCUUCGGGGUCGCUGAAGGAGCCGACGCCGACAUCCAUAGAAGCAGCACACUGCAGCAUCCAAAUACAACGAAUACCACAUCCAUUAAGUCGAGUCAGAAAGCAUCGUUUCCUCGCAGGACGAGCCGACAGACGAACAGCAGAUCAACCAUUACAAAAAAAAUAAAAAUUUAAACAGAAUGAGCGCGGCCGAUGGGAGAGGACGGACCUUAUCGGUGUCGGGAUCGCUGAUGAGGAGGACCUCGAGAGAGUUCUCGAGGACGACCCUCCGGUACUCCCUCUUGUCCGACCUCGGCUUCACUAUCUCCACCUCCUCCCUCCCCACCGCCAUCACGCAAAGGAGCCACGGCGAUCGACGGCGAUCCUCUCCCUCCCUGCCGGUCGCGCGAACUAGCAAACCUCCUUCGGCUCGAGAGAGAUUUCGAGCUCCGACGGAGUGGUGGUAGUGCUAAUGUCGACGGAACGCUCCGAGUCAAGUUGAAGACGCUGGUCAGCAUCAGCGACGACAUGGAAAUGUAUGGUCGUCGCUGGUCAGCAUCAGCGACGGGUAGUGAGGCACGCGCGCAGGGCCCCGCUCUCCUUUCCCGCGAAAAUUACCAGAUUUCUGCACAUUUAAAAUAUCGCCUUAAAUAAAAGGGAGCUGGCUUCUCCGUUUAUUUGGCGAAAAAUAAAUUAUAUAAAAUUAUUUUUUUAUAAAAUAAUCGCUUAUGUAGUUUAUAAUAAUUAAUUACUAAAAAAUAUUUCAUCAUUAACAAUAGUUUAUUUGUCUAAACAUUUUCUUGAACAGUAAAAAAAAAUUGUUCAUUCUAUCUUUUAAGUGAUAUAAGUUAUUAUUUAAAAAAAAUAUUUUCUAAAUUAUUCAUAUUUCAUAAAAUAAAUGGAGCCUAAAAUGCAUUUUUUACAGCUUAUCUAUAAAAACUGAAAAUUUAAUCAUUGAAUAUUAAGAGGCAAAAUAUUUAAAAUAUUGAAAAUGAAAAUAAAAAGGUUGCUUUGAUAACUUAUGAGAACAAAUUCUAUCAUUUUCUUUCUAAACAUGGGAUAGUGAGUUUUGAUAAGACUUUACUUUCUACUAUUUAGUAAGUUAUUCUUGCUCACCCUAUUAAGUAAUUUUUGUCUUGAACUAAUCAGUUAAGCAAUAUGCAAUAAGUGGUUAUCUAACCCAUUUAAUUUGCUUAUCAGACACUACUUGGAAGAAUAUAAUUCCUAUGACACUUAUAAUGUGUGGCGAUAAUCAAUUUUUUUUACCCGUGCAAUGAAUUGUAAUAUACUCACAUGCAUAUGCAUCUCACUUUCAAUUGACCCAUUACAACAUGAUUUAUCCAUCGUUCAGAAAACAUUUUACUUGAUUUAGGCGAGAAGAAUAGAGAUGAGGGGAAAGGAUUCAAAAGGAGUUCAAGUUCAAGGGAUCGUGUGUUAGAAUAUUGCUCGGAUAAACAAAGGAUAAGAAUGGAAAAUAAACCAUUACGACUUAUAUGUCCUUUCAACUACUCAUAACUUAAAUUACAACAAGGGCAUAAGAUAAACUAUUUUAACUUUGAUCCUGACAUUCGAUAUCGACAACCUCCACGUCACAUGAAUGUGUCCGAACCGGCAGGCAACAAUCAAUGUCCUAUAGUUCUUCUUUUUGCUUUCAAUACCCCACAGAUUUUUUGUUUAUUAGAAGCAAAGCAAUUUCUAUAAGCAACCGUGAUGACGUCGAUGGGUAUCUAUAGUCGAAAGAAUGACGAGCACAUUGAUAUCUUUAAUUGCUUUUAAUGAGUGCGUGAAUACGAUGAUUGGACUUAAAAGCAUAGACACGACGUGUAAUUGUUAUCUUAUCAAACAUGACUUCUUCGAAGGAAUAUAAAUUUUUAUCUUGGCGUUCGACUCGGUCCUCUUGGCCUCGUCGAAAACCUCGAAAGCAAUGACCACUGUUCAGGAAGAAAUGAACAAGAAUUGGAAGCACGCGGGCCUCGGAAUGAAUGAUGUCCGUCCCCCGUUCAUCGGAAUUCCAACCGCGGCUGUCCAGAAUAAUCCGAACGUUUAUUCUAUUCCAAAACAUUGCCAUUUGAAUCAUUCGUCUGAAGACGAAUCGAUUCCUUACAACUUCACUCGACCACAAGCCCCUUUAAAUGAGCCAUAAAGAGGUUGAGAUCUUCGAAAACUGAGGAUAUCCUCGAUUUGAAUCAAGGAUGGUUGAACCGGUUGGUUUUUGUCAGUCGUGUACUCAGAUGUGUGCAGGCUCCCAUAAACACGAACGGAUAGCGUCUUCUUUCUAGCUGCGCCAACUUUUACAUAAUCAUUGAAGAAAUCCAGCAACUCUUGCUGCGUUAGCUGUCUCAGCGCCUCUACCUGAUCCAGUAUCAUUUGUAAGAACUUAAUACUAUAUUACUGAAGUCUGGCUCGAGAAUUUCGCACUAAACAAAGGCUGUCAUUAAUUUCAGUCUUGUUUCUAACUACUAUCUAUUAGUGCUGGCGGCUCCACCCAUUUCAGUAGUCAAAGUAGAGAGAAGAAUUACAGUAUAUCUGCCCAGUUAAUGUUUAGAUCGAGCUUCAUACCUCAGUUUCUCUCCUAUCAAAUUUCCGAGUUCCAUCGGAGAUUUCUUUCCAGUAGAAUGCACAUUCUUCCCUCAGAUUCUUGUGCUUCUCGAGCUUCAUAUCGAUCAACGCAUUCACAUUGCUCUGCAUAUGAUAAGGAACCGAUUAGUAUGACCAUGCUAUGUCUCCCAGCUAAAGAUGGCGCAGUUACUUUGCACUAUUUUUUACACAAGAAUCCACUCGAGUACAAAUCUUGCAAAUGGGAUGGAUUGCAGGAAAGUCAGUGAGAAAGGAAGUUCUCACUAUGUAAUUUUGGAAGUGCUUUUUACCCCAGAAAAUAAAACACCACUACAAGCGAUUCCUAUUGAGUAUUUCUUAUAUGAGGUCUGAAAAGAUUCUCGAUGCAUUUUUUUUCAGGUAUAUGCACUAUCACUCCUUCCAUAGGAGGCAUUCAAAACAAAGAUGAACAAGGCUUGGAGCAAUAUUUGUCCAAAGACCGACUGAUAACAACAGCUCACUUUCCCUUCUCGGUACCCUAUAUUGAGUAGUCAAGCCUGCAUCCAACACUGCUGUGGAUUUUUACUGGUGAAAAGGCAAGCUGACAUCUUAAGAGUAAUAAUAUGAACAUCUACACAACUUACUACUUAAUUGAGAAUAGCCUUACUAUCUAAACCAGGAAAUGCUCAUAUAAGUGGCAACGUCAUUCAAGGAUUUCACUCUUAACGUACCUUCCACAUGCUAAGAAUCAUGAAUACCUAUUUUGAUUAUAGAUCAAAUACCAGAAUUCAAUGGGUAAUCUCAGCAUUCAAUAUGUCUAAUGGAUCUCAAUUUUCAAUUAUUCAACUGUUUCAUUUUACCAACAAAGGUUGUCACUCAAUUAAUGUACCUUCCAAAUUCCAGCAUCAUCUGACUCACCUUGAAGUCUUCAUUUGUCAUCUGAGAUAGUUUGCUUUCGAACAUUUUUAGGAAUUCCUCAACUCUCAAAUCAAUAGCACCAGGCCCCUAAAAAGAUGGAUAUAUUAGAAUAUGAGGCAAUGACCUUGGUCCUAAAACAAAAUAUUGCUAGUCACCUUCACUGUGGAUUGGAUUAUGAAUUGCAGUCCAUGAAUUCCAUAAUCGUUCCUAUGUUGAAGGAGACAAAAAAUAUGAGAAACAGCAACCAUGCAUUGAAACUUUGUAGGUCAAGAAGUGCCUUAAGUACCUCUGCUUAAGCAUGGUUAUGUACCCAAGCUGCUCCACAGAUCUAAGCUGGUGGAAUGCUGCUUGCUUGGCGAUUAGAGCAAAAAGCUGAAGCUUUAUGUUCAUCACGAUAUCAUCCCGGUGAACCUACAUAAUCAAUCAACUAGCAAAUCAAGGCCCUUCCAAUAACAAGACAUUGAAAAAUUAAAAAAGCAAAACAUACCAGAAAAAGAGGGGGAGAAGCAAGCAGGGGUGGGGGAGAGGGGAGGGGGGGCUAGACACUCUCAUUUUCUGAUUUUGGCAAAGGAAUACGAAUGUGUCAAGAAAUGAAUAACAUGACAGAAGUAAAUCAACUUACAGACAACAGAAGAACAAAGAACAACUAUCAAAUAAUAAUAUAUUCAGGGUAUCCUUUGUCAAGCCCCAGACAAAUGGAGAUCUGAUGGCAUCCUUGCCAAAAACGAAAAAAAGUGCAUCUUCUGGUCUUCCAGCUAAUUUCCAAUCACCAACGGUAAAUGGAAAAAACAAACACUUGACUGGACAGACUAGGCAAGAGUAUAUGUACUUGGCAAGACAACCUCCUAGCUUUUGAAUUCACCAAAUGUCAGAGAGUAAAAGAGAUAGUAACAAGAGGAACUCAUAAUGUCUGAUAAAUGCUAUUUUAUAUCGUUCUGAAGACACGAAUAAAGAUUUACACUCCCUUCAAGACAGAGGAACAAGAAUAAGCAUGCGUAAAUUCUAAAUCUAAAGUCUUUAUAAGUGAAGAUUGAGAAGGAGAGUGACAGCCAUAAUGAUCUUCAUUUCGAAGAUAACAUAUAUGCCAAGCUUUCGGGUUACAUCCUGCCAAUUUCGCACCUGCGUAUGCAAAUCAAGUCAUGGAACUACCUGAAUAUAGUGCACCAGAGCAGAAUUCUCAUCACUUGGAUUUAGGCCUUCCGUACAGUAGAAGUGACUCAAUCCAGUUCCUAGUUCAACUACUCUAUUUGUCAGAUGCUGGGAUGGAUAUAAAGGUUGGCAUAUUGGCUGUGAACCGUGGAAAAGAGUAUUUUCAAUAUGCUGAACUAUAGACUCUGCUUCACCACGUUCAAUAUUCCCUACACAAGAGUUAGCAGAUAUAACUCGAAACUCAAAAGAGGAUGGCAGUGAUCUACCACAAAUUUUAAAAUAAAGCUGUAGACUACAUACCAGCUAUGUAGAACUCCAGGAAGGUCCUUGAUAACAUUAGGGGCAAAAAAUUGGUGAGAUCUUCGCCCUUAAUUGCGGGGAGAACUUCAAGUUGUUCUGUCCAGGGCCGAGUGUCGUCUCGCAGUAUCAGUGAACAAUAGUACUCAGCCUGCUGAUAUGGUUGCUGAAACUUCAUAUUCUGAUAAUCUUUUGUCACCACUUCCUGUUACAUAUAUGGGCAAAGAGAGAAUCACAAAGCUAACUUUGCAAAAGCAGAAGGUAAAUGGUGCAGGUAUUUUCUGUGAGAGAGAGGGAGAACCACAGUUCACCUUGAUCACAGCAAAUCUCUCAGGUCUCACUUCAAAGGUUGCAAUUUUCUUGAUGACUUUUUCCAGCAAUAUCCUCAGCUUAUGAUUAUAACCAACCACAGUGACCUAAGUACGAAAACAUAUGGUCAGCAGAGAGGAUGUCCACUCCUGUAUACACAAGAGAGAGUAGGGCACUCUAUAGAAUUGCUUGCCCACUGUAUAUCCAUUUCAAAAAAUUUCAAGACAGAAAAUUUGAGUGAAGAAAAAAGCAUAAAAGAAUUUCCCAGUCUUUUUAUGCUUAACUAAAAUAAAAGUAGCUUAUUUAAAAAACAAGAACCUGAAAACCUGUGUUGGUGUGAUGCACAUUGUAAUAAAGGCCAGCAACCCGCGCAUAAUAAGCUGAAACAUACCCAAAAAAGCAAAUUAAGAAGAGAACCAAUUAUAUAUGUCACAGCAAUAAACACAUUAGAUAGAAGAACAGAUUUACCGAAAUCACAUUGAACAUUGAAUGCCAUUUUCAAAGGAAUAACUACAGUAAAAUCAAGACUGAUAUGAAACAUAGCAUGAGAUAUUCCUAUACAGUCUAGUGUACUUUCGAAUCUUACCGAAUUCAUUUAAGUAAUCCAUCAAUAACCCCAUAAACAAAUCAGCCAGCAAUACAGUUUCAGAUGAGUUGCUAGCAUGGGGGCAGCUGAAAUCUAUUUUAAUAUAUGCCUUGGGAGUGGAGAAUACAGUAUCAGGCUUGAACCACAAUGUUGAGUAUGAUGACUUCCUCAAGAGAACUGGUAAAUUGAUCUGUGCAAAAGAUCAGUCACUACAGGAGCUAAAAAAUGAACAAGAUAAGUUCAGAAUGUAUUGUACACCACACCUUUUCUUCUGAAAUCUUUAGGGAUAAAUCGGUAGGGAUGAAUACAUUGGGUGCUGGUAAAUGCAAAUUUACAUCAGGAGAAGAUGAUAUCCAUUCCUGCAAAUCAAGUACAGACGAUAUUAAGGAUAAUUGUUUCUGUUCUCCAGCAAAAGAAAAAUUGUAUACUCCAUGUCUAGGUAACCUCAUUUAUCUCGCCUCUUUAGUGUAAAUAUGCACACUACAUUUUGAGGGACAAUCACUCCAGUUGGUCGGAGCAUUAUUUUAGUUGAAGAAGUACACCUAACAAAAGCAAUUGAUAGGACUAUAGUGGUGAUUAUCUCUCAGACAUCUUAUACAAAUGCUUCACUGAGUAUCUAACAGAAUCACGCUACCAGAAUACCAAAUGAACAAGCUUGGUAGACCUGAUUAUGUUUAAAUAUUGCAGGGAAUGAACAUUCAUGGUGGGAGCUGCAAUUUUGCCGACUACUCAACAAAAUCAAUUGAAAAUUAAGAUAAAAUCAUCAAAGCAUAAUGUGCCACUUCAUCUGUGAAAUCACCACACUUGGAAUGAAAAUCAGUGACAAGACUAUCAAAAAAGGGAUACCUGUAUAGUAGAGGCAGAGAUUCGGUUGAUGGAAUAUGCUGUUCCAUACCAUGGUUCCACCAUGUCAGUUGAUCCUUCAAAACUCUUGGACUCCCAAAAGAUUCUGUUGAAAAACAGACUCAUUCCUGUUUAGGAUUAUAUUGACAUGUAAAACAUUCCAAUUUGCUAAAGAAAGGGUAGUUACAAUGCAAUCCUUGUGGAGAAAUUUUCAUUGCAUACGUUAGCAAUAAAUAUGAAUAGCAUGACUUAUUUCUGGCAAAUAGGGAUGGUUAACUAUCUUGGAUAAGUUAUGGUUUUAUUAGAACAUUCUGGAUUUGAUGUUCAACAUGCAAGCCGGAAAGUGGAAAUGGCUAAAUAAGAUUGGGUAAUGAAAUGGCAGUUCAGCAACUGCUUUCUUCAGUUGUUUGCAUAAAAGACAUGUUAUAAAAAACUCAACAUAGAAAGAGAUUUCUCAAAUUUGACUUAGUGUAAUCUGUGCUUGAAUAUCCUUAUUGUCAAAUCCAUGCAGAUUGGCCAUAAUAAAUGAUUGCAGAUGACUUUUCCAAGUCUGAUUGCCAUUAUACAGACAAUAUGGCACCAGCAUGAAGGCGUGUGUCUGGACAGGUGCAUGCAUGUCAAAGUUUAGAAAUGGCAGUGAGGUGGCUUUGGAAUGGCUGGCCCCAUAAAGACCAUGAACCUGAUUAGUCCCCUCAAACAUGUUUUCUGAAUGGAGCUUCAAAAGUCAUCCCAAUUAAGUAUAUGAGAACUUAAAACCCAACAAUUUGUUUUAAUGUUUUGAACAAAUAAAUAUUCCUAAAACAAAAAUCAAUAAUAUAAUACCAAAACAACACAACGCAGAAGAAUAAAAAUAUUGUGGUCAGGUUUUAUUGAGGUACAUGCCAACUAAAUCCUCCAAACCAUAUAGGAUCUGAGAGUUCGGAAAAGUUGAGAAACCAAGUUAAAGUGACCCUCUGGUACUCCUAUGCAGGUUUGACAUCCAUACAGAGGACUGGUGACCUAAAUUGUCUUUGAUAAACCUUCAAUGCACUUACAAUGCAGCAACCGGGAAAAGAACAAUGAAAUAGUCAUCAUAAACAUAGGUCAUUUGAUAAGCCCUAAGGCAUGAUUUUAAUACUUUCUUAGUACUAAUAGACUCACCGGACAUUGUCUGGAGAGAGCUUAUCCAGCACCACUUGAAUAGUGCCAGGAUUGAAUUCACAAGGCAAAGAGGAUCCCACGAUCCAAUCUUCAGGUGGAUAUAUCUAAAGUUCAGUAAAAAACUAUUAAAUUAUUUGGUACUUAUAAUUACAAUGAUUUCACUUCGAGGCAUGGCAUGCAUUAAACGCAAAAGGAGAAGAAUGUCCCUAAGUGCAAGUUUUUACUGAAAAAUGGAGUAUUUAAAAGAACCAAAUAUUUACAUCUCAUCUAAAUUUCAUUUACUCUAACCCCAAGAACUGAUAACAAACAUCUGAAGAUGUUGAUCCUAGAUAGAUGAGCUUUGCAGAUACUUGUCAUGCUGUUUAUGGUCUUCAAACUUCUGAGAAUCGAUUUGACCUGAACAACUAGGACUUUGCAGAUGCGCAACCACUCUACAGCAUUCAGGGACAGGUGCAUUUUUUAAGUUGGGGCAGAAGCUGCCCCCAUGGAAAUCCAUGUAAGAUAAUAAUUUCGAACAUUUUAAAGAUCUUCUCAUUGAUGCACCCGUAGAAGCCAUUGCUCAAGGUGGAACACUUCAAACUUUUCAAAACAUACAAAUAUUGACAUGUCAAUUCAAAUAUAAUCUUUCAUGAAACUUAAGUAUCUUUUCCAUUUUCGCAUUUGGAAAGGAAAUCCACUUUUGCUUUUUUAAUCAAAACCAAACGAGCUCUUAGUUACAGAUUAACUUCAGUGAUAUCAAUAAAUUAAUGUCGAGUUAAUUUCCACUUCAAAAGAAUUCUACGCAGCCCUUAAUAACACUUAGGCACCGCCCACACACAUGUAUAUUAAAGAAAAGGCAAAAGGGAGAUCUAAGGAAAUGCUCGACAUACCUCCAUAUUGGACGCGACAUUGACUACAUAUUGAAUGGGAGGGAUUUUGUCUUGAUAAUGAAACUUAGUCUCACACAAGGCUGAGAGCUUCAUCAACGCAUCCAAAAAUGGAUUAGGAAAGUAUAUAUUUACAAAAAGAAAAUCUACAGUGAACAAGUAUCCAAUAAAAUGCAGCUUGAAAAUCAAGAACCUUCGAAACAUCAUGAACCAAGAUGCAUUAAAUUAAUGUGGCAUUCAUAGAAAUAAUUAUGUUCGAUCCAACCCAAAAAGUGACACUAAAGCAUGUCAAUGAAAAUGAAAUUAAUUGGUAAUCCAGCAAGUGAACGAUGCCAUGCAGCACAACCAUCUGCUAUUAUUAACAAUCUUCAUUAAUGUAUAGAUACAAGCAUAAAGGGACACUUAGGUGUCACUUCUAGCAAAUUCCGCCGGAAAUUUUACGUGGUAAUUUUUUAUUAAUUUUGCUCGCCUACAUGACUCGUCGGAGAGCUAACUCAACAAAGAAACGCAAAAAUGAUGUAUUUUUGGUGUAGAUUUGAAUUUCAAUACGAAAAUGAAUCAAAUUAAAUUUAAAACAAAAUUAUUUAAGAGAGAGAGAGGAAGGAAGAAGAUGAACAGUUGGAGGCAGCUAAAGGCUCAGCCUUUUCCCCCACCAUCACCGGGAAGGGCCAACGAUAGUGGGGGAGGGUUGGUCGGGGUCACCAGGCCUUGACAAUGGGCCGACGACCCUAGUUGCCCGGCAGCGAGGGCUUGCGAGCCCUCACCCAUUUUGAGGCGAGGGUCACAGCCCUCCUCCAAAUUUGGUGAGGGUCACCGACCCUAGCCAAGGGCAACCGCUAGUCCGGGGCCACCCGGCCCUCCCCCAGAUUCGGUGAGGAUUGUUGGCCAUUGGCUUGACCGCCCCAGAUCUAGGCGAGGGCUCAUAGGCCCUCACCGCUAGUCGGCCAGGGCCAUUGGCCCCUAGCCAAGGCCUAGUGACCCCAGCCAACCCUCACCCACCAUCGUUGGUCCUUCCCACCAAUGACGGGGAGGUGGUGGCGGUGGCGACAAGGGCUGAGCCCUUAGCCACCUCCAACUAUUCAUCUCCUUCCUCCCUUUUUUUUUUAAUUUCAUUUUAAAUUUAAUUUAAUUAAGUUUUAUAUUAAUUAUUUAUCCACAUCAACAGCAAAACGAUAUCGUUUUUGCACUUGUCUAGUCACGUUAACGUGCAAAAUGAUGUCGUUUUGCACUUGUUUCGCAGGAAAAUCACCACAUUAACAUUUUGGCCAGAUUUUCUCGCCAUUGACACUUAACUGAUCCAUUUUGCUCCGAUUUUAGCACUUAAGUGUCCCCGUGCCAAGUUUUAGCACUCCAAAUGUCCAACACUCGAUAUAGAGAUGAUAGCAGGUAGUAAUUUUACGAGCCUGAUAUUCAUGUAGCAUAUCUCAAUGAAGGUAUAAACAAAUGGACCACUUAGCUCAUGAUUAUUUCUCACCAUAGUGAUAUGUUUAAAAUGAAUAAGAAAGAAUACAGAACCAUAUUGUGCCGGUAUAUGGCCAAAUCUGUUUGUGUGCAAUCGCCAAAACUACUGGAGAUGUUCAACGUACUAUACAUUUAUGAACAAGAAGAAUAAACAGCCACAAAUAGGUGAUGAACUUAUGUUUUCAAUUUUUUUUCUAUAUGCAGGUACGAGAAGGAGAUGCCAGUUGAAAAACUGAGUAUAACACAACCACCGACAGCAGCAGAAGAAAUUGCUCAUAUGCACGCCACCAAAAGUCAAUCUUUGCAUUUCCCAAGAGAAGAAUUUGAAAAUGAGCAACCAUUUCCACAUAGUUCAGUUGCAUACCUCAUCAAAUAUCCAUUUGCAAACACCGGACUGCCGUAAGAGAAUAAUAUAUUUGAACAACAAUCCAACAAUAUCUUGCACAUGUUCUGCAAACAAGUCAACCAAAUUUCAUUAACCUUGAAAACCUACCAAUCCAUAGAUGAAUGGACAAAAGAGUACUUCUAGAUGGCAGCGAGAAGAAAAAAUUGAAGCUCCUAUAAGUAUAGUGUAUGGAAUAAGAGGACUGUAUCUAGUAGCAGAAAAACAACUACAUCGUAUAACAAUUUCAAACCAGCAAUUGCCAAGCAUCUUCUAAAGUGCAAUAGGCCUAUGUAAAUGACGAUUAUAUUAUUUUCAGGCAUAGACCGUCAGAAACAUAAUAAGUCCAAAUUUGCCACCAUGAAACAAUGAUAUCAUCAAGAUUGGGAGAAAUAGCAAUGUUUCAGUCAAGAACUAAAUGAGGAAGCCAAAUUCAACAGAAAGGUAAGGGGGAAGAUAAGACAAACAAGGAAAUAUUAAGUUCAACCCAAUCACUAAUUCCUCCAGCUUAAAUAUUAGGACAGUUGACAAACAUGAAUGAAAAAAGCAUAUUUAAAUUGCAGAUAACAAAGAUGAAUGCUAAUAAAAAUACUCUACUAACAACUAACUGGAAAAUGGAGAUGCUUAUCAUCUCUAUGGUCUCACAUAUGAGAAAGGGGCAGGCGGGUGUGCCGGUGGGGGGGGGUGUGGUGGGUGGGGGGCUGGUUUAGGGGAGAGAGAGAGAGAGAGAGGCAUUUCUAGUGAUAAACCAAUAGGAGAGAAUGAAGAACAUGAAGAAACUAACCA
rnacentral:lncRNA from 1 species